rnacentral:lncRNA from 1 species
CAUCUUCUGUUGCUGCUGCUUUCUGACGCACUUUCUUAUGCAUCAUCAGGGUUAAUGUACUUAACCAACCAUGGAGAUAAGCACAUUGAAUUAUGCGGCCGGCGGUCACCCAUUUCAGUUGUCCUCCACUUCAACGCCACCAACUAUAACUGCCAAACACCACCUCCUCCUCAGCCCUGACACUCCUCCUCCUUCCUCUACUCUUUCAAACUUCUUUCUUCUCCCCGUGAGCCGCCCUUUUUCUCCAUUUUCUUGCUUCACUUACAUGUCUAAGCUCUCCUGCCAUAAAAAAUCCCAAAGGACCCCCAUUUUAGCUUCCUCUUCUUCUUCUUCUGAUUCUACUAGUAAUGAUAACCCUCUCGACCACUCCGCUUCCGAUGCUGCUGCUGGCUUCUCUUGGCUCCAUCUUUCUCGCCGCUUCUUUACAAAUUUCAAGCAACAAACCGGUAUUGAAUUUCAACAUGACGCUAUUGCUACACUGGCUCAGCUCGCUGCUCCACUUCGUCGCUCCGUCCAGUUGCCCCACUCUGCGCUGGAAAGGUUUAGGUCCCACUUACUUCCCGAUUUCGUCAACUGGAAUAAUUGGAUCGCUGGAAGGUAAUUUUAAACAAUACACACAACUCUGUGUAUUUCCGUUUAUGCAAUUCAAUUUUUUUUCGGAGUUGUGAAAUAAUAAUAAUAAAUGCAUGGGUUGAUUCUGUUGCUCUGCAUACUUGGCACCAUUGAAUUAUUAGCAUCAUUUUUUUUUCUUUUGGGUUUUUUUAAAAGUUCUUGAUUGAUGGCCCCUCUCAGUGUGAAUCUCAACUAAGGUAAUGUGCUUGUUUUCUUGUUUGGGUUUUCAGGACGUAAAGAAUUGGGAAGCCAAGUGAAUUGGUGUUCUAAUUCUUUAUGCACUUGUUAUGGUGGUUUCUUCUUGAGGAAUUUACAAGGCAAUUCAAGCACCUCUUAUUGAUCGAGAAAGAAGAGAGCUGGCUGAGGCAUAUAUGGAGACUCUCAUUCCUGAGCCUACUCCCACAAAUGUCAGAAAGUGUGUGCGACUUUUCCUAUCUCACCUGAUUUUAGUUUGGAAGAGUACGAUUUCAGCUCUCACCGAGGAGCACAUGACUUGAACAGUUACUAUGACACGAAUCUUCUGCAUAUUUACUUUUAUAUACAUGUUCCAAUGUUACCUGAUGACAUACUUAUGACUUCCUUGAUAAUGUUUGUCAUUUGACUGUCUCAAUACCCGCCGCCAUGAUUUUUUUCUUUUAUUUUUUAAAGUGCCUUUUGAUUGCACUCGUUAUCUCAGAUGUUUCUUCUUUAAUGCAGGUUCAAAAAGGGUUUGUGGAGGAAGACAACUCCAAAGGGCCUAAAACUCAAAAAGUUUAUUGAAGGACCUGAUGGAACGCUUGUUCAUGAUAGUUCUUUUGUUGGGGAAGAUGCAUAUGAUGAUGAUGAUCAUCCCUGGGAGAGUGUAAAAGAAAUUAUAGACCAAGAUGUGAAAUUGAACAAAGAAGAGAAGAAGGUUUUGGAAGAAGAUUUAACAAUUUUGGGUGAGUUUGCAAGUCUGUUUUUCUUCCCUCAAGUUAGUGGGCAUGCUCCUUUUACAGACACCCGUUAAAAUAAGAAAAGGGAAAAAGAUUAAUGUUUUUAAAUCUUCAUUUAACAAGGUUCCUGGGUACAUUAAUUUUUGGCUUGAUGCAUGCUUUUUUUUUUUAAUUGUUUUUAUUAAGGACCUGGGACUGGAUAUUGAGUUGUUUUCUAUGUUUUAAGUUAAUUAAAUUUUAGCUGAUUUGGUAAUUUAACGUCCUAUGUAGAGUUAGUUUAUAGAAAACAUAAGGAUGGAAUGUUUUAUCAGCAAAUAUUUUUUGUACAAUGUUUCCAUUAUGUCCUGGUGGAAUUCCCGGCUUUAACUAUUUUCUUUGACCAGUUGUUUACAUGUGAUUAUGUUGUAAGUAAAAUUAAUGGACUUCAACUGACCAGUGAAGAUGCAAGAAGAAACAAGUGUGGAAAUGCUGUUGUUUGGUUUGUUAUGUCUCUUUUACAUACCCGAAGGACUAAACAAAAUCAGCAUUACUUUGGUAAAAAUUGGAGCAGCAAACUUGGAUUUGGCAUGAAUCUGAUUUUUUUUUUUUUGUGAGUAGUACAAAGUGGAAAUUUGAUGGGGGUCAAGAUGCUGUUAGGUGCCAGCUGCCGCCUUAAGUGCCCCACGAUCUGCGUGAUGGCCUGUUAAUGUGGUUAAAUAGCUUUUUUAACAACCUUCUUUUGUAGGAGAAAAUCAGGAGAGUCGAGGAACUUGGCGUGAAAGGCUUCAAGCAUGGAAUGAAAUCCUUCAGAAGGAUAAGUUAGCUGAACAAUUACAUUCAUUGAAUGCCAGAUAUGUAGUCGAGUUCGAUAUGAAAGAAGUUGAGAAUAGCCUGUGCAAAGAUGUUCUUGAAAAGGUCAAGAACAACCACGGAAACCGAGCGCUGUGGAUUUCUAAAAGAUGGUGGCGCUACCGCCCUAAACUUCCUUACAUGUAUUUUCUUCAAAAACUUGAUUCUUCUGAGGUAAUGAUUCUAGUAGUUCAUCCUUCUGUGUCUGUCUUCAUCUUGCCAUUUAGGAAAUUGGCGAAUCUUUCCUCACGCAUUUCCGCACUGAUGAGGGAGAGAACUUGUAAAGUUCACAGACAUGAAAAGAUACUUGGUAAAAAAAAUGAUGCAGAUGGAGCAAUGUGAUUUAUGUCAUGCUUGUGUAUGCAUAAAACUUGAACUGUGCAACGCUUUCUUGACUGGUUGGCUUCCAUUAGUGGGAGUGUGAGAUGUUAGAUUUCAUUGAUGAACUCCAGUGGGAGUGUGAGAUGUUAGAUAUCUUUGAUAUCCCUUUUUUGAUGCUAGGUGCAAUAAAUUGUUGGGGUCAACUGUAGAAAUCAGGCUAUGAUUUGUGUUUGAUUUUUGCAUGUCGCUGCUAUUGUUUUCGCAGAAGACCUGAAAAGGUUGUAUGUGACAAUGAGAGAAGGGUUCCCAAUGGAGUAUAUUGUGAGCUUUGUAGCUCUUGGUUAUGGUUCAGCUGAAAUUGUAUUCUUUUUCAUUUGAAAUUGCUUAUUGAUGCAUUGUACUUUCUCAGGUAGAUAUUCCACUUGAUCCUUAUUUGUUUGAGAUGAUAUCAAGUUCUGGAGCUGAAGUUGAUCUCCUCCAAAAGCGGCAGAUUCAUUACUUUCUUAAAGUUGUCUUUGCUUUGCUGCCUGGCAUACUGAUAUUGUGGUUCAUAAGAGAAUCUCUGAUGCUUCUUCACAUCACUUCAAGACGUUUCCUUUAUAAGAAGUACAAUCAACUCUUCGACAUGGCUUAUGCUGAAAAUUUCAUUUUGGUAAAUUUUAUUUUCUCUAAAUUUGUAGUUUCCUCGUCGUCUUGAGUUUAUUUUUGAUCUCUUAUUCUGCCACUUUCUCAGCCAGUAGGGGAAGUUGGGGAAACAAAGUCUAUGUACAAAGAAGUAGUACUGGGAGGAGAUGUCUGGGAUCUACUAGAUGAGUUGAUGAUAUACAUGGGAAAUCCCAUGCAUUAUUAUGAAAAAGAAGUGAAGUUUGUGCGGGUGAGCUUCAUAUGUUGAUAACUAAACAGUGGAUAAAAUAUGCCAAGAAUUAAAGAGUUGUAAUUUUUUCGUGUCAUAUUAUCUGCUUUACAGGGUGUGCUUCUCUCUGGACCUCCUGGAACAGGCAAAACACUUUUUGUCUGAACUCUUGCAAAGGAAAGUGGGUUGCCUUUCGUUUUUGCUUCUGGUGCAGAGUUUACAGACAGUGAAAAAAGUGGUGCUGCAAGAACAAAUGAAAUGUUUUCUAUUGCUAGGAGAAAUGUAAGUCUGGCCAGUUUGAAAACCACGUUCGAUAUCUUAUAAUGUAAAUCGUGAUGUAGGCUUGUGGUUAAGCUUCUUUUUUCCUUGUGUUAGAACAAAAGUUUGAUUCAGACCAUCUCCAUUCUCCUCUCCUCUUCAUUCCUUUCUCCCACCCUCUGCUUCUGAAACAUCUUGAUACAAAGACUACUGUGUCUCCUAAAUUUCCCUUUUGCGUGUUUGAUGUUUCCAUGCUUUAUGUUUAACAGUUCCCCAUUAUUUUUCUGUUGAUCAUGUUCUUAUACAUGAAAUUUACUAAAGAUCAUCAGGCAAGAAUUCUCUGCCUUUGGAGCUUUUGGAAAAACACAUUCUGAUUUUCAUUAGUUUUGUUUUAGGAUUUUUUGUGUUUAAAAUUUUUCCCCCCAAAAAACCUUUGAUGCCUUUGUGCUAUGUCUAGGAAGAACAAAAUUUAAUCUUCCUUCUUUAUGCAGGCUCCUGCUGUUGUUUUUGUUGAUGAGAUUGAUGCUAUUGCUGGGAGGCAUGCCCGAAAGGAUCCACGAAGAAGAGCAACAUUUGAAGCUCUUAUUGCUCAGCUUGAUGGAGAGUUAGUGUCUUCCUUAUGCCACGACUAUAUUGCUUCUGCGUAUCUAAGUAUUGAUCUGGCAGGUUUAUCUUUUUAAGAUUUAGGAUGUUAUUUCCCAGAAUCCCCAAAAUUUUGACCACAGCACUUUGUUUGCUUGAGAUUCAGUUUUUGUGAAUCCAGGAGGAAUUGUCCACAUACAAGUGAUUGUGAGGGAAAUUCAUAGUGAUGAUUCGAUGUGUGUGGUGUUUCAUGUUGUUCCAUCUUGGUCUCCUAGUGAAGGAUGUUUAGUAGCAUGGUAAACUUUUUAAAUCUAUAGGGUUGUGUGCUCAAUCAGAAUUCAACUGUAAGAGAGAGUUCCUGUUUUUGUUACAAAGAUCAUAUUACAAGACUGUAUGUGAUGUAAGACUUAAAACGACAGACUUGCUAAACUGAAUAAUAUUUAUGCUGCUUUCAUGUGAUUAAUAGAUGGUGAAUGUUUAUGCAUUUUGAUGUAUUGUUGCCAUGCACUAGGGAAGAAAUAGUGGAGCUAGUUAUGGCUUCUCUAUUUAUUAGUAGUUUCAAGUUAGAAUUUCUGACUAUUUCAUAACUUCACUAAAAUUAGUGUUUCCACAUUGCAUAUUGUUGUACUUCUGAUUGGAUGUUUAUCAAUCAUGGGAACAUGUUGUAAUGGAAUAAAGAUUGGCAAGGAGAAGGAAGGGGUGGGAGUAGAAAGAGAGAGAUGGAUGUAGGGAUAGAGUCAAUUUCACAAUUUUAUAAUUGUCCAUAUUGAAAUUUGCAGCUGCUGUUUAGUAAUUUCAAGUUUAAUAUUACCACUUACAAAGGGAAGUCUGUUGUUCCCAGGAAAGAAAGAAUAGGUGUUGACAGGUUCUCAUUGAGGCAAGCUGUCAAAUUCAUCUGUGCUACUAAUAGGCCAGAUGAAUUGGACCUAGAAUUUGUUCGGCCUGGACGUAUUGACCGUCGUUUAUAUAUUGGAUUACCUGAUGCAAAGCAACGUGUACAAAUUUUUGGUGUGCAUAGUGCUGGUAAACGACUUGCAGAGGAUGUUGAUUUUGAGAAGGUAUAAUGUGUCUAAUUGCUGAACUCUUGUAUCACUCCACUGAUUUUACAACUCCUCCGAGGUAUCAUAUGGAGGGUUUUUUUCAAUCUCUUUCUAUGCAGGUCGUGGUCCCCUUCCAUUUAAUGUAUCAGUGGGAGGAGAGUCUUGUUUUCUUUUGUCUGCUACUAUUUAAUUAAGAAUUUACUCUCCCGCCCUCUCUCUCUGUUAAAUAUUUUACCUCCAUGGGGCUUUGGAGUAAAGGGGCUUCUGACUAAAAGGUCUGGAGAAUGGUUUACUUAUGACAAUCUUGUCUCUUUACUUGUACAGCUUGUAUUUCGUACUGUUGGAUAUUCAGGAGCGGAUAUUAGAAACCUAGUGAAUGAAGCUGGAAUAAUGCCGGUAAGUUAGUCAUCUCUGUGCUUUACAAGCUAUAUUUCUGAUCUACUGUGUACAUAUUCUGGUGACCUCUGUUUUAAUGGAUGGAAUGGAAUAAUGAACAUGGAAAUGUUUUAUUGUUCAAGAGAAAGCUUUCAGAAUUAAAAAAGUUUUUAUCACCAUGUUUUGUGGAUUACUUGUUGGCAGAUCUCUUAUCCUUUUGCAUUUGAAUUCUUAAAUCCUGAUUAUUGAGAUUAAGGCUUAAUCCUCUGAUAUUAUUUGUGUAAUGGAUAAAUUAAAUAACUUGAGUUUCAAAAUGUACAGCCUUCCUAAACUGCAGCUGAUGUUUAAAAGUCUAUCUCAAGAUAUAUAUUUGGUUAAACAUGAGAACUUAAGAUGCAACUCAGAUAUAAUAUUUACUUCCCAACCCUCCCUCCCUUUUUUGUGAGCUCAACGUAUUAAAUCCAUGCAGAAAGAUCUUCAAGAUGUUGAGGCUUUCUCAACAGUUGGAACUUUUCAUGACCUUUGGCUCUAGAUAUGAUUGUUGUCUUCUAUUUCACUUGUAUUGUAUACAUACAGAUGAUGAACAAAAUACUCUUAACAGGCUUUUUCACUACUUGUACAGGUGAGAAAAGGGCAUACUAAGAUCUACCAGCAAGACAUUGUAGAUGUAUUGGACAAGCAACUGCUUGAGGGUAUGGGUGUGCUUCUCACGGAGGAAGAGCAGCAGAAGUGUGAACAAAAUGUAAGCAUGUUAUUCAUGCAAACUAAUAAGAGUAUCGCUGCAAACAUUUUAAGAUCCUUCUAGAUGUUCUUUUCAUCACAUGUUUAAUGCGUUCACGUAAUAGGUGUCUUUUGAAAAGAAAAGACUUCUGGCAGUACAUGAAGCUGGACACAUAGUCUUGGCACACUUGUUCCCUCGUUUUGAUUGGCAUGCAUUUUCUCAACUUCUACCUGGUGGCAAGUUACAGCUCCUGUUGUGAACAUUUGUAGCGCUUAAUCUUGCCCGAGUUGUCUCCAACACUGUUCCUUGUUCUAUUGAAAAGGAAACUGCUAUAUCUGUGUUUUAUCCUCGAGAAGAUAUGGUUGAUCAAGGUUAUACAACCUUUGGCUACAUGAAAAUGCAAAUGGUAGUUGCUCAUGGUGGGCGAUGUGCUGAAUGUAUUGUAUUUGGGGAUGAUAUUACUGAUGGUGGACAAGAUGAUCUGGAGAAGAUUACAAAGGUAAGUAAAUAGUUUCAGAUCUAUUUCUGAAAGCAGAUAAGAAGCUGCUUCACUGAUGGGCGAGUUUUUAAGUAUCUGGGUUGGAGUUAAAUGGGGACCUAUCUCUUCAGCUUGGUAAUAAUUUCCAUUUUCCCUUUAGAUUGCUCGAGAAAUGGUGAUAAGCCCUGGAAAUCCUAGGUUGGGGCUUACAGCUUUGACAAGAAGACUUGGACUGGUUGAGAGACCAGAUAAUCCUGACCGUGAGCUUAUUACAUAUAAGGUAGUUUUUUUUUUCAGAAUUUUAAGCUUCAUUGUAGGAAUUCCUUUUGCUUAAGCAUGAUCACAUCCUUAAUUUUUCUGAGCAACUAAUUAUGCUGCUUCAACUUGUUAUGGUGAUAUAGUGGGACGAUCCUCAUGUUAUUCCUGCUGAUAUGACAGUUGAAGUUUCUGAACUAUUUACCAGGGAGUUGGCAAGAGUAAGUGAAGUAUCCCUUUGUGAUUGUUUCAUGUUUCUUGGAGGACAUAGCCCUUUGUGAUGGUUUCAUGUUUCUUGAAGGACAUAUCCCUUUGUUAUGGUCUCAUGUUUCUUGAAAGACAUCCUGAAUCUUUUUGCACCCAAAUGUGGUUAUUGCUUUGCUCAUAUAAAGGUUAUUCUGGUUUGAGAUAAGUGAAGAAUAUAAUUCAGUUACUUCUCACAUCCAAACCACUUUAGAUUUAUAGACCUUGGCAGGUGGAAGAUAUGGAAGUCUUGAACAUCCUUGUCUGCUACUAAAAUCAAACAUGUUUCCAGGACUAUUAAGGAAAGGAAAGUCGAGUUCAAGUUUGUGUUAUUGUUACUACCUUCAGCUUUCUUUUAAGCUAAACUUUUCCAGAUAUGAAGAAACUAUGUAACCACAAAAGGAUAACUUUAUGAGAAUAAUUUUCAUGACUAGAUAUUUUUUCUGUUCAUAGCAAAAUGAGAGUGAAACCCAUAACAUCACUAAGGUGAAAUAAUUUUAUAGAUUUACUUUGUGGAAUCAGAUUAUACUGCCGAGCAAAACAGAUAUGAGGAGGAGGGUCUCCAAUGCACUUUCUUCUCUAUAUAUUGCAUAUCUGCAAAUUCAGUGAAAACUAUAAUUGCUUAUGUUGCAGUACAUUGAAGAAACAGAAGAAUUUGCAAUGAAGAAAUUAAUGGAGAACAGGCACAUACUAGACAUGAUUGCAAAGGUACUUCUUGAACACUCAAGGAUAACUGGAUUGGUGAGUCAUUAUUUACGUUUCAUUCUUCUCGUCUGUGGCUUUGAGACAUAUAACAAAUAUUAUCCUUAUUGGCUAAUUUUUCGUUCUUUUUGUCUCUCCCAUUUGUGUUAUUCUGAUGAAUAAAUACGUUUGGAGCUGCAUGAAUAGAUCAUUUACUUUAUAAGAGUCUGAUUAACUGCCUCAUGCAUUCAUGAUUUAAUAUAAGUCCUCUUGCAGGAAGCUUCUUUGUCAACAUGUACUCUUGGUAUUGCUUAAAAGAUACUGUCUUGCAGUCUGUGCAUAGAUCUAUGUAUUUAUGUAUGAACGUAUGUAUGUAUAAAUGUCGAAUAAUAGCUUUUGUUUAGAAAAGGAUUUAUAUUAAUGUUUCCCAGAUUUUUUUCCGUUUCCUUCUUGACUAUUGCAUUGGGCUAGUCAGCGUACUAUACCCCCAAGAAAGAACAAUAUCAUAUAACAAAAUAAGUUUGACCAGACCUAGCAAAGGUUUUCUAGGAAAGUCAGCUAUGUAUACACCUCUGCAACUACAUCAACUUGCUUUUCUGGAUGGAAGUUUAUAAGAAGAUAUUCCCUGCAGGAAGUCUUGAUGUUAACUAUUUUGAUGUUAACUGUCUAUAUGGUGAUUUUUCUUUGCGGUGCUUUGUGAUAAUUAAGUAGUGCUUAAUUAUUGUGUUCUUUCUGAUUUGCUCAAUGAUGGAUUCUUGUUUGACCUAAACCUUCUGUGUCUAGAUUUGCAAUGGGAUAAGGUAUUUUCAAGUAUUUGUUUACCACUUUUUGUUAGUGAAAAACUAAGAAGGAUUUGGGAUUGUGGUGUUAGCUUUUUUGGUGCUUUCUGUUUCUGUUCUCAGGAAGUUGAGGAAAAGAUGAGAGGACAAUCGCCACGUAUGUUUGAAGAUUUUGUGAAGCCUUUCCAAAUAAAUUUGGCUGAGGUAGUAUUCCUUUCUGUAUUUCCUUGUUAUAUUGACAAAGCCAAUAGUACUAUGUGAAGCUUUAGUCACUGAAGCGUCUGUUAUCUUUGUGAUAUAUAUUAUGAUAAUAUUAUAGCUCAGGAAAAUGCAUUUGAUCUUCUAAAACGCGGCUCUGUUUCUCGGUCUCUCUGGCUCUGAUUUGUGUCUUUUAUUGAAAUGUCACAUCAAUGCCCAAAGAUAUAACCAGUUGAACAAUCUUUAUUCAUCUCCAUCCAAUCUUUUGUUGUGCAAUGUAGCUUUGGUGAUUGAGUGCAAAGAAACUUGUUGACUUGGAAUGUCCUGCACUUUUGUUACCAUGGAGAAUGUUUUCUAGAUAAAUUAUUUUUGGAAAUUGAUUCAGCAGCUUUUCAUUGUGGUGACAAAACUACAAAAUUGUUUUGCAUUAGUUGAUGUACUUGAUAUCUUUGGUUUGUGGUUUUUUUUUUAUUUUAAAUUGAAGUCUCGUGUUCCUGAUUACUAUAAAGCUAUUUUUUCUUCCUGUUAGGCAAAGGUGUAGCCUGUACGUGUGUUAAGUGAGAUCCUUGUGAUUUGUGAGAGCAGCAUAUAUUGCUGGUGUUUUAUGUCUGCAUUCUUUCUGCCUAGAUAUAGAUACUGUUUGUACGUGUUUAUUUGGGUCUACUGUACAUCCUUUCUUGCCAUGUUUUUUAGUGUCAGCUAAAGUACAUCACUAGUCCAGCUCUCAAGUCAUAGAAGGCUGUUAUUUAGUUAAAGGCUAAAUUGUUAUUUUGAACUGUGAGAGUACCAUUUAUCCUUAACUUCGUUUUCAAAAUUUCCAUACCAUUGGCCUUCUGAUUUCUCUAAAGUGCAAAGUGAUACAGUGUUUGAAGGAUGAAUUUGCUAUUCUGACAGCCUUGUACUAGUACACAUUCCGCAUAUUUUUCUUAGUGAUAAGGGCUUUUCAUUUUAACGUUAGAUUAUCAUGUGUAAUUUUUUAAAUCCUUUAUGUUGAAUUCUGCCAGGAUGGACCAUUGCCUCACAAUGACCAUGUGCGUUAUCAACCGCUGGACAUCUAUCCUGCACCACUUCACAGAUGCUAGGUAGGGGUUCAUCCUCCCAAAUGUGAUUGGUUGGGAUUCAUAGCAUAAAUUCUUGAAUUAAGAAAAAAAAAAUAUAUUAUGGGAUUCGAGAAGGACAAAGCAAGUUCAUCCUCGUAUGUCCUGAACGUUCCUAGAGAAGAUACUCCCUUAGUUGCCCCUAAUGGCUAUCAUCUCUCUUCCCAGAGCAAGACUUUUACUAAUGUCUUCAUAGCUAUAGUGGGAGCAGGUGUCCUUGGCCUACCCUACAUAUUCAAGAGAACAGGGUGGGUGAUAGGCGUCCUUAUGCUCUCCUUGGUAGCCUUCCUCACGUACCACUAUAUGAUGCUCUUAGUCCACACGCAGAGAAGACUUGAAUCCAGUCUUAAGUCUCCAAAGAUCAAAGAUAUAAUCUUACGACCAAUUUUGGGCAGGGACUAUUGAGCAGCCUUUGUGUAGUUGGGUUUGUGCAUUAACCUAUUCUUUACUUUCUCACUGAUGCUGAACCCUGUUUAUGAGGUGGUGGAGAGGAGAUUUUGUGAAGCCAGGUAUUGCUUGUGGAUGAGAUGGGUUGCGGUAUGGGAGUGACAGUGGUGGCUCUCCUGGUGCCAAAUUUUGCUGAUUUCUUUUCUCUAGUGGGGAGCAGUGUAUGCAUUGUUCUGGGUUUUGUUUUGCCGGCUUUGUUUCACUUGAUUGUGCACAAGGAAGAAUUGGGGUGGCAAGGUUUGGCUCUAGAAGUGGCAAUUGUAGCACUGGGUUUAGCAUUGCCGUCUGCGGAACAUGGACUUCCUUGAUAGUAGAGCAUGAUAAAAUUUUCAGUGUUUAGAAUUUUAUUAGAAUUAUUGUUAAAUAAAAUUCCACAAAAUAGUAGCUUUACUCCAGAAUCUUUAAAUAUAAAUUACGCAAAAUUCUAAAAUGCAAUUAAGUAAUAAAAAAGGGUAAAAAGAUAGGUCGCUCAUGAAUUCCGGCAGCCAAUGUAUUCUUACAAUUACUGCUUGAGACAGUGGCAACACUAUCAAAAUUGUAACACAUCAUUUCUAGGGCUUGAUUGGAUUUACGAAAAAAUGACAAAAAUUAAAAUUUUGGAGUUCAUGAUGAAACAUGCAAGAGAGGGAGAGAUAGUUUAUCGUCUAUUGGAUGACAAAUUUGAUUUUUCCAGACAUUGAUGACCAAGACAGGCUAUGACACUGUAACUUAUCAAUUUUAUUACCAAAGUUACUAUUUUUUUUUUUUUAAGAAUUGAAGUUCAACGUCGACACUUUUUGUUUUUGUUUUCCUUUUUUUUUGGGAACAAUUUGACAAAUGGAUGGAUGGAUAUCCAAAUGAGGACGGGUCAACAGUAUGUCCUAGUGAAUGUAAUUUUUUGUGUUGGGCCUUUUUUGGGAUUACUUUUGUAUUGGGCCUAUUUGGAUGGUGGUUUAUGCUUUUGAAGGGAUCAAAAUGGUAUUGCCGCUGGAGUCACAAACGAAGGAGAAGCAGCAGUUUGUGAGAAUCCUGGGCUGGGCAGUGGCCUCAUCUCCUUAAUGUAUGGAGGAAUUGGAAUUUUGGGGUAUUUUACUCUCGUGUGAAGAGACCAAAGGUAUAAUCAUGACCAAUUUUGGGCAGGGACUAUUGAGCAGUCUUGUUCAGUUGGCUUUGUGCAUUAACAUAUUCUUUAAUUUCCUACUGAUGAUGAACCUUGUUUAUGAGGUGGCGGAGAGGAGAUUCAGUGAAGCUAGGUAUUGUUUUGUGGAUGAGAUGGGUCAUGGUUUUGGGAGUGACGGGCUCUCAUGGUGCCAAAUUUUGCUGAUUUCUUGUCUCUAGUUUGGAGCAAUGUAUGCAUCGUUCUAGGUUUUGUUUUACCGGCUUUGUUUCACUUGAUCGUGCACAAGGAAGAAUUGGGGUGGCAGGGUUUGGCUCUGGAUGUGGCAAUUGUAGCGUUGGGUUUAGUAUAUGCUGUCCACGGAACAUGGACUUCCAUGAUGGAGAUUAUGGCAGCCAAGGCUUGAGAAACAAAGCAGAGAAUGGACUUGUAUGCAGAAAUUUUUUUAAUUUUUAAUUUUUAAAAUUUUGCCUUGCUUAGUACACUUAUUUCUUGUACUUUCUAGUUUUCAGUUUCUUGGUAUUGUUGCUAUGUUGGACGAGUAUGUUUGGCACUUGUUACCAUUUCAGCCCAAUCAGAAGAAAGCCCAAUAGCCACUUGAGGGAAGUAGCAGGAAGAAGUAGGUGCUUUCCAGAAUCAAGGUGGAUAUGUCAUAAAGGGGCCAAAUUUGUUAUUAGUAGUAUAAAGACGUUUCGUUACAAAUAUGUAAUGGGAGAAUAUCUACUGGACAUGUAAUAUCAAAAUAGAUUGGUUGUUGAAACGAGUCUAGGACUUGUCUCUUGGUGAUGCAAAUUGGAAACAAAAAGUUUAUGAUGCGCGUUUGUUAUUAAUGAUAAUAUAAGCAAGCAAAUGUUCAUUUGUAGUACUAAGAAAGCUGCAUUACAUCGGUCGAUUUUACACAAGCAACGUCAAAUUAAAUCUCCCACAACGCAAUGCAACAUGAACUUGGAAACUAAUAAUUGCACUUGACAUUUCAAGACUCGAGCAUCCCAAAGAAAAAAUAUUAAUAAAAUCAUUCCAUCAAAGAGUAUGAAAAAUUUUAUAGUACUAAAAUCUAACAUCCCACUCCAUUCACCGUGAUUAAAUUGCUCCGAAAAUGGUACUAUUGGUAGUAUUGUACUUAAUUUAAGCUUAACAGUACUCUCUCGACCACCAAAGUCUUAAACCCACCCAAAAAAAAAAAAAAAAUUCAUUGAAGAAACACAACAAAGGAAAGAGGGAGAGAAAGCAUAAGAAAAAAAAGAAAAAGGUAACAAUGAAGCAGCAACGGAAUGGCACGAAACUAAGACAUCAGGAGCAGCAGCAAAAAGAACCAAAAAAGGAAAAAGAAAAAUCUAAUCAAGCUCCUUCUGGACUUUAAUCCCUAUGGAAUUAGCAGUUUUGAUGAUAGACUUACAAAUGGACUCUAGAGGCAUAUACUGGCAAUAGGAGUCAUGCUGCUUCACCUUGGCAAUCUCGUACAUGUGCUUCAAGGUCAAGGAGGAAGCCGUCAUGUGACCGGGGUGCCCGCUACCCUUCUCCAACCCCACUGUCUUCUUUAGGUACCACGUGAUCGAUGGCGACCUGAUAGUGAACUCGAAGGUGUUGUCCUUGAAGCCUGAUAUGACAACGGCCAAGGGAGUGUCGAGCUUGUACUAUUGGAUCCUAGCGUUGAAAUCCUUGCAGAAGGCCAUUAGAGUGAGCCUGUAUUGACCCAAUGCCGGCCUCACCGGAGAUGCCGGCCGAACUCCCCCGGUGGAACGGUUAAGCGGAUCAUCACCGCCACUGGCCGACGGGUCAAGAUCUCCUUCAAUGUCGACAUUUUUUAUGGGAAUUUCCAGAUGCUUCAGUACCAGUCUUUGAAAACAAGAAUUCACAAAGUAAAUUAGGUCCUUGGUUUCAUAAAUAGAUAUAGCUUUUUCACCUUUUACAAGAUCAACAUAUAGUUAUAUUCCAAGAAGACACACUAUCUGCCAAGUUUGUCUAUUUAUCAACUAUUCACAUAAAUAUGGUAGAAGUACAACUACUGUAAUCCAAGACAACAAGAACAAAAUCUAACUCGAUCGAUGAGUUAUAGAUUUCUUCCCAUCCCAAGAUACAAAUGACUCCACAACGUUAUGACGUACACAUCACACAAAUAAGUUCCGAUAUACCAUAUUGAUAUUAAAGUAUAAAAGUGUAUACAUCACGCUUUAGCUCAAAACUGUAGCAAAGAAAAAAAAAUUAAUGUAAAAUUUGGAGAUGAAUAAUCAUACACCACAAAGUCAGACUUGACCAAUCGUUGAGGCUCUUCAAAACCAGUUUAUAUGCAAUGCAAAGAGACAGAAAAGUUAUAUAUGAAACAUGCUAGAAUGUAACUAGACAGAAAAGCCAAAAGAACCAGAAUCUUGUGCAUCUCACUUUGUCCUUGCAGGUGAUUCUGACAAUAGUUUUGGUUUCUCCCCUUCCUCUGCGAGUUAACGGGCAAGUUUAUCUGACAAAAGGGAAUAUGCAUAAAGCGUCCUAUGUAUAUUCUCAAAUUAUGACUAAUAACUAAGAAAAGUAAAAACAGAACUCAUUUUGAUCAUGCAAGAAAGAAAGUGUGCGCGCUGAAGUCAAGUUUAGACAAAAGAAGAAUUUGUCUUCCUAAAUCACAUAACAAUAAUUUUACUCCAAACACAAGUUAGACAAGACUCUGUACUAUAGACUUGAAAAGCAAUAAUUUUACUCCAAAGGCACAACACUUAGGGCCGCUUGGUUUGAGGGAUUUGUCACGUGGAAUAACGACAAUUCCAAUACUUAGUGCUUGGUACACUAGAAUGGUAAUUGAAAUAUUGGAAUCAUGUCCAAUUUAUGAUUCCUGACUAAAUUGGAAGGAAUCACUCAAAACCCUCAACUCAUUUCCAACAGUGAAUAAAUAAAAGACAAAAUAUUUUGUUAAAAUACUUUCUUUCUCCCUCUCACAGACAUCCACCAUCGAGCCUCCCCUUCCUCUCUGCCUUCAACACCUCUCUCUCCCCCCAUGGCAUCUGGCAACUCCUCCCUUUUUUCUUAUUUUUCCCUCUUUAUCAGCAUUUGGCAGCACCCACAUGGGCUUGUCGGCAGAAAAAUAGAUUCAGAUGGGAGAAAUCAAAGAGGAAGCCGCACCAACAAAUGCCGACGAGUCAUCACCGUUAUUAUCUGAAUUCUUCCAUAAGAUCCGUUCGGUUAGAACGAAGGUGCCCGAGGUCGAGGUCCACCUCUACAAGCUUGGCAAAGGACCCAUCGAUGUCUUCAAGUCCAGCCUUAGUGGGUGGGACCAAGACCAGUUGGAGGUCACCGAUUUUUUUCCUUCUCCAUAGCAUCUAACAAAAUCUCUCUUCUUCUCCCACCGCCGGUCACUCCCCCCUCACCCCAGUAGACCCUUUCUUCUCCUCCCUUGCCAUCAAAUCGUCCUCCUCAUUGCAAUCGUUCUCCUCAAAUCGUUCAAAUCUUUUAUUGAUUAGUCAUGAGUUUUUGUUGAUAAUUGUUGAACAAAAAACAAAAAAGAUUUGGAUUGGUAGUGAUUUGAUGGUGGUCCGAUGGUGGGCAUGAUUAUCAAUCCAAGAACAACAAUUAAAAAAUAAAAAAUUAAUUUUGAUACCAUUCCAACUAUAACUAUACCAAGCACUAGUCCGUGGAAUGAUACCAGGGGUUCAAACCCAUACUGAUUUUUUGUAUAUCAUUCCAUCUCCAAUACCAAUUCCAAAGCAUGAACCAAGCACCCCCUUAGUUUCCUUUACAUCACAAUUUUCUUCCUAUAUUGACUUAUUUUAGCAAUUUGCAACACUUUCCUAUAGUUCUAGACCUUUUAUGGGUACAAAUCCUAAAUGCAAAAAAUAAUAAAUGGAUGAAAUAAGGAAACUGGUAGAACACUAGUCUAAACUCAGUGAGAUCCAAAAGAGCAAUGGCAAAUGGCACCAUGCAGUUCAUCUAGCAUAUCAUCUAAUUUAGGGAUAGGAUGAUGAUACUUUACCAUUACUACAUUGACUGCUCGACAGUCGGUGCACAUUCUCUAUCCACCAUCUUUCUCAGGAUCAAGAAUAACUGGUACGGCACAUGGACUAAGACUUUCUCGCACCCAUACUUUCCUUAGUAUUUUUUCCACUUGCUUUUGCGUCUCCUUGAUCUCUUCAGGUUCCAUUUGAUAAGUAGCUUUGUAAGGCAACAAUGCUCUAGGAACCAAGUCUAUCUAAUGUUCAAUACCCUGCAAAGGUGGUAGUACAUCUGGUAUCCCUUCUGGAAAACGUCUUAAAAUUCCUAUAAAAGAGAUGAAACACUUGAAAGUAAAGUGUUAGUAAGAUCAUUAGAAAUAUCUAACACUUCUUUAUCACCUAGUACAAAUAAAGGUUGUAACACAUUAAAGCUCUCCUAACAUCAAUAGCCUUUGCACUCAAAUUUUGUUUUCUCUCUCUUUUUUUUCUCCUCUAGCUGAGCUUACUAUAGUCUUUUUCUCUUCCUUUUCCUCAACCUUACUCCCUUCUUUUCUCUCUCAUUUUUUCUUUGUUUUUCUUAUCACAAUCUAGCUCAUACUCUUUUUGUAACCUCACUUGAUCCUUAUAGACCUGUCUGGAGGUAAGUGGAACAAGGGUAAUCUUCCUAUUACAAUGCAUAAAAGAAUAUUUAUUGGUGCGUCCUUAGAAGUUGAUAGCUUUGUCAAAUUGCCAUGGACAUCCCAAAAUCACUUCAUCUUCAUAUCUAACCAAUUUCCUCAUUAGUUUCCAUCUGUUCUUCUUCAUCCUCUUCAACUAAUGAUGGCAUGUCUUAAUAUUCAUCUUCAUCAUCCGUUACUACCUCCCCACUGGAUGUUAUGAUCAUGGCACAUUGGUUAGCAUAUUGAGAUACUAUAUGACCAACUCCAUGACACUUGAAACAUUUGCUGUCCCGGUUGCGUGGUUUAUGAGUUUGUUGACCAGCUUUUAUCUCGAUUUUAGGGACUGGUUUAGUGGCACUUGGUUUCGGCCUUUGAGGUUCUGCAGAGGUCGCAAACUCGUCCUCCCUCCUUGACUAGGAAUUUUUCCAACUUCUAGUUUGGCAAGAGGUGUUUGGAUUAGUAUUACUCCUCUUCUUGAGGUGCCUUUCCAUUUUUAUAGUUUUAUCCAACAUCUCAUUAAUGUCCAUGUAGUGUUGGAGUUCAACCACUUCAACGAUUUUGGGCCCCAUUCCAUUCAAAAACCUUGACAUUGUCGCUUCCGUUCUUGCACAUCGGCCCUCAUCAUGGCCAUCUCCAUCUCUUUAUAUUAGUCAUCCACAAAUAUGUUCCUAUGAGUGAGUGUUUGAAGCCAAAGGUGUAGUUCACGAUGAUAAUAGUUUGGUAUGAAUCUUUUCCUCAACAUCCCUUGCAAUUCAUCCCAAGUUUCCAUUACACGUUCAUGAUUUCUCCUCCUACUUGCUUGCAAUUGAUCCCACAAAUCAUGGCAUAAUAUGUGAAUUCAAUUGCUGCAAGUUUUACUUUUUGCUCUUCCAUGUAUUGCAUUCAAAGAUCACUUCGAUCUUCCUCUUCCAUUCCAAGUAAGCUUUUAGAUCAGAUUUUCCUUGAAAUGAAGGAAUCUUCGGCUUUAUUCCCUUAAUAGAAUCGUCGCCUUCCUUAUUGUUGUUUCAGACAGCCCUAUGUCAUCUAGUCUCCUUCUCAAUUCAUCAUUGGAAAGUUCAUAUUCAUCCUUGUUACUCCUUCCCUGGUUUGAUAUACUUCGAUUCUGGGAAUUUUCAAUUUGAUAUAUCUGUUCAUGUAAUGGCUCAAGUUCUAAUCUCAUCAAUCAUCGAAACUCACUCAUCAUGGCUUCCAUAGAAGUUUAGAGUCAACAAUGGAUGAUCCCUCUCCAAUCGACAUGUUAAGUAACCUGAAAAAAGAGUAAGCAAAAAAAUAAGUAUGUUUUCCUCACAUGUUCCAUUAGUGUUUAUUCUCAAUACUCAUAUUUUCACUCAAUCACUCUAAUGAGUUCAAAAUCAGGUUCCAAUGGUUGUUAUUUGCUUGCCUGGAAUAAACUAAAGCUUCCUCUAGGUAAAAGUCAACCCACCAAUCGCUAACACUAGAUGAUAGCAAUUUGAAAUUUCGGAUUUAGCAAUAAAACAAGAACAACAAUGCUGUCAAGAUGGACUAGAAAAUUUAUAGAAUUUGAACAUUAGGUAUGCUGAAAAUUUCAUGAGAAUUUUGGAACUUAUGACUCAAGAAUUUGAGCUGUACUUUGGUAUAAGUAAGAACGGGUCGCCUAUCUUGCAAAGCCGAUUCUAGUUUGGACUUGGAUGCUCAAAAUUUUCUGAUUUGCUUUCCGUUUCUUGGUGGAACAAGGAUUUUGUAAGGUGGUUAGCUCGUUUCCAGGAAGAAUUUGGACCAACAAGAUCCGGUUAUGGUAGUCACAAUGGAAUCCGAUUUGGACUUUGGAUAAGUAUGAUAAUGUGCACGGCAUUUCUUUCUUGUUCACACUUGCACGUUGCUUUUUUCUUUCUUGUUUCCAAACUGAAUUUCCAAGUGGUAAGUAACGGAUGCAAGAACAAAUUAAGGUUGUUGGGACUUUUUUUUCCUCCAAAUAGUCAUGGAUUUUGUUUCAAGAAGAAUUCUGUUUUGGGGCAAGGAAUCGGUUUUGGUUUCAAGAAUUGGUUUUAAUGUUUGUUUCUCAAGAACUGAAAACCAUACCACCAAACAAGAUUUCAAGAAUUCAAGAUUUGUAGUUCAAGAAAGUCUAGAAAUCUUCAAGUUUGGUUCAAGAAACUCAAGAACUUCACAAGUUUGAUUCAAGAACUUCAAGAGACUUGCUGGAAAUUUUCGGAUAGCAAAGAUUUUAUCAAUAAACUUCCCAGAACUUCAAGAAACCCCAGGUACGAACUUCAGAUUUCUUCAAAAAACUCUCUGUAUAGAAUUUUUUUGGAUGAAUAGUAACUUCUGGAUGGAGAAUAAUUGCUACAGUAAUGAUAAACACUAAUGCUACAGUAAUGAAUUUUUUUUCUUUUCAAGAAUAAAAACAUGACAUGAAUUAAGAAAAAAAAUAGAAAAUCACAAGCCCAAAUCUAAAACUAGGUUAAACAUUUGAAGACGGAAAUUCAUAAUCAUUCUUGGACCGCUCAAGAAUGAUUCUAAUCGUAGAACAAUACUACAAUCAAGUGUGUUGCUUAAUUGAUAAAUUAGAGAUCACCUUAGGACAACUCUAAGAUUUUCAAGGUAACUUUGGCAAGCCAAAAGAACUCUUUCUCAUAAGAAAGAAAAUCUAGAAAUUUUGAUAAUGAUAAUAUUCUUCUUCAUUGAAAACCGUAUAUGUUUGGCUAUUUAUACUUUAUAGCCUACAAGGCUUGAAAAAUCGAACUAACAACUCACAAUAAAGAAAUAACUCAAAAAUUACAAAAAUCACUUAAAAUUCGAAAAUCUGAUCCUACAAGGACUGGCCUGAGACAUUGAACUGGACAUGACACUGGACAUUACCAGAAGAUCAAAUUAAAAGCACAAGAAAUGGAUCUGAGACCUGGAUCCACGAUCUGCUCCCUCGUGGAUUGGUCAGCAUUUCUACUUUUGCUUCAGUUUCCUGCAUUCUUCCUUUGUCAAACGACUCUAAUGGCUAGUUUGCUGGAAGCCACCAUGUCUUCAACAUAAAUGAUAGUCUUCAUAGGUUGACGUUCCAACUCAACGCCCUCAAUAAACUUGUAGGUGCCUUCUUGGUCUUGAACAACACAAACUAAAGCCAUCAAUGAGUCUUUAAAAUUUUUAGCACAUGAAUGAGUGAUCGGACCAACUGGAACUUUGACAGGAUCAACCCGCAUGGUAGCUUGAGUCUCUUGAACAGCUUGCAAUCCUUCAUCAAAUUUACUAAAGUCAUCCAUUCUUUUUUUCAACAAAAUUUGUUCUUCCUUAAUUUUUUCAUAAAAUUUUGUUUUCUCAUCCAAAUUUCUUUUCAAAUCAUAAGACUUGGUUUGGAGGAUAUUGUGUGGGUUUGGAAAGGUGACAAGAACUCAAGGAGUCAGAAUAGCAGGGCUAGAAAAUUCAGCAUCAACAGUUGGAAACCCAAGAUGAAGAGGACCAGCAAUAUCAACUACCAUAGCUACUAAUAUUACAGCAAGAGUUACCUUGAUUCUGUCUUUUAUUAUAGUCUUGUAUCUUUACAUGUUCAAAGUGUCCUUUUUCCUGACUACAAGUCCUUUUUUCCUAUAAUAAUGCAUGGUUAAAUAUAGUAUCUGCAUUUCUAGACCAUGUCAAUCGUGAUGUAUUUUAUAUGGAUAUCUUCAAUUGAAUUGUGGGCACUAUGUAUCUCUGUUUAUGUUGAAGACUCCUCCUCUAGUUUUUGUUGUCUGAAUUGUUAAUGGCUUUCAUGUCUUCUAGCCAUAUUGAGACAUUUUUCUUUACCGAACUGAUGUCAGGCUGGCAAUAUUUGCCUUUUUCAUGUACUGGGGUAUAAUAUUAACCAAUUCCAGGUUUUUAAGGAAUGAUCUAAUACAAUGUAAUCAAUUUUGCCUUAAGUAUUGCUUUUCUUGGAAGAGUUUGUUUGGAUGUCCUUGAAUUAUCUUCUUUUCAAAGUGUCUUGAAGAGUUUUGACUUAGUCAGAUUUUUUUUCUUCUGCCAUAUGCUAUAGUGUAAACUCUGCUUUGCAUGAUUAGUAUGAUUUAGUCCCGUUUACAUUUUUCAAUCCUGUGCAUGUAACUUUCUUUGUCUGAUAAAUUAGGAUUUCGACCAACCAAAAAAAAAGAUAAAUUCAUGGUUUCAAUAUGCCAUAUUUUGAUAGGAUAGCGGACAAUGGUACUUUUUGGCAUAGUUGUUUUGUUGAAGGUGUAGAUUGUGAUUUGAGGUACGAAAACACAUUGAGUAACACUUGAAUUGCUAAUAGGUAUUUUGCAACAUUUUCUAAGUAUUUGUUGCUUGGCUAAUAGAAACCACGCCAUGGAGAAGAAAAAAUUCCAUUACAAUCAAUUGAAGAAAAAUGUUAUAGGAGGAAUUUAAACAAAAAGAAAUUGACAAUGAACAAAUUCUCGUAAACAAAUUCAAACACUACCAAAGUACUAAUGCUUUCCAUUAAAGGGUUCACCUUUCAAAUCAAUCAAAAACAAAAAAAAAAUGGAAAAAUUGAUUGAACCUAUCAGGUUUGCAUAAUUAAUUAACCAUCUGUCCAUUUUAAAUAUGUAUCAGUACUCCUAAUAUUAUUACUUAUUUGCGCAAAGGGGCCAACGAAAUAUUGAACAACUGAAAGCCUGAAGGUUAAAAAAACCAGUACAUGAGGAAGCUAAAACAUAAAGAAAUUGACAAUGAACAAAAGUAAAAAAGAAAUAGACCAACUGCAAAACAUGUUUAAGAAAUCUCAACAAAAUUCUCGUAAACAAUUCAAACGCUAACAUGAUACUAAAGCAUUCCAUUAAAGGUUUCAUCUUUCAAGUCAAUCAAAAGCCAAUAAAAUGGGAAAAUUGAUUCCAUCUGUCUAUCUUGAAUAAGUAUCUGUUGGAAUAAUUUGUGAACUGAAAUGGAAGGCAAGCUUGUUAAACUCAAAAUAUUGGACAAAAGAAAAAUGCUUAAUGCAGCCCCUUGAUAACUAUUAUAGGGGGGAAACAAUUUUGGCAUUUUUGUCCAUUGAAGGAGACUAAUUGUAGCCUCUUGAUGAUCAUUAUAGUAAGGAAACGAUUUUGGUAAUUUUGCCCAAUAAAGAAGACUAAUGCAACCUCUUAGUGAUUAUUAAAGUGACAAAAUUGUGUCUCUUUAAUUUUGAUAUCUUCUAGAUUGACUUUCCCUAUAUAAAUGACAAACUUUUAACAAACUAACUAAUUUAGCCAUUUUGAUUCUUUCUUAGUAAAAGACCUUAGUAUCAAUGAUGACCACAUUUUUGUGCAUUUUAUACAUAUGUAUCAAUGAAUAUUUGAUUUUAGUAUGCCUACUACUGUACUCAAGCCAAUAAGAAAAUACACAUGCUACUUACUGAGCAAGGUGUUGUCACUCCGCUUAUCAUUUUUUUUUGUAGAGAUUAUAUCUUCUAAAGAGGUUCAAGUCAAGCAUUUGGGCAUUUAGAAUUUGAUCCUAAUGGAGAGAGGAUUGCAAUAAAGGAUUGAAAGUUUAUAUUCUAGCAUUGGCUUUUGUUAAGUCUGUAAGCAUUUGUAACUAGCUAUUUAUCUAUAUUUAUAUCAGGUUAGAUGCAUGGGAUUGAAUUGGUGGAAUCAUAUCUUCUUUUGGUUGUGAAAAAAGAAAUAUUAUCUAUGUUUGUAUGAUAUACUGAUAAAUUUUAAAUUUAUUAGCUUUGUUAGCAUGUGCCUUGGGGAUAACCACGGGGUACGACGAAGUUAUGUCUUGAGUACGGUACAUGAGAACAAGUCUUAGUUAAUGCCUGGGUACAAUGAUGGGACCCUAAGUUUUGGGAUGUGUGAAGACCUGAAAUUUAUUUUAUUUUAUUUUAUUUUACUGGCUUAUUUAAUUAUUUAUUCACCCGUUUAUCCCAAAUAAUUUAUUUCAUCCGUUUCAAGUCCAUUUGUAUGCAAAAAUGUCCCUUUUAUAAUUUUAAAACAUUUCGUUAGCAAAUUUAAUUUUUCUACGGCUUGUUUAGCAAGAAAUAAUGAGUACACGUUUUUCGAGAUAAUUUCGAUUCGAGGGUACAUUAGUUUUGGAGAACUAGGGAUGAUCAAUAGUAGACUAAGAAAAGUUAAUUGAGGGAUUAAAUGUGAGUGAGUUUAAAUUAAGCUUUUACCGCGCGCGCGUCAAUAAUGUCUCGAAAGUCGCACCACGCAAUUUAUUGGAGAUUUGAGAAAUUAAUAUUAGACUAGUAAAAGUGAGUGAUUACAGAGUUAAAGGAAAUACCUUGGAGGAUUAGUGCAUGAAUGUAUAAAACCCGAGAGAAAUUAGUGAUACGAAACCCUAUCGAGUCACUAUUCAAAGUUGACUUUUGCACAUCUUUAACUUAGCUUGUUCAACACAAUUCUUCCCAAAAUUGGAGACCAAGAAACCAUCACUCACUUCACUCUUUCAGCCAGCCAAGAAAGAAAGAAAGGAAAGGAAGAAAAGCUCUCUUCACUUGCUCCACUUCUUGAUUCCAUUUCCUUCACAAAUCAGCACCCAACUCUUAAACACCUUGGAGAUUCGCUCUAGCUUGAAGGGAAGAGAGGGGCAGCUGGUUAGGGGCUGUUUUAAGAAGUUUGUCACACCAAAAAUAUAGGGUUUCUUCUUGAGUUUUGAAGGUAUAAACAUCUCUCACCAAAGCUUUUACUUUCUUGUUUCAUUUCUUGGUUUUGAAGCUUGUAGCUUCUUUCUUGUUGUUGUUGCUUGGAUUUGGUCAGUUAAAGUGGGCUCUAUGAACUUUCACCUUGGUUAAAUGAGGGCUGUCAUGAUGUUUAUGUGUGUAUUAGUGUGUUUGUGAUGAGUUUUACAAGAAGAAACUAGAAGAGGGAAAAGAAAGAGAGAAAACCGUGAGAAGAAGUAAGCUGGCCGAAUCUGUCCUGUUAUUGCCUUGCCUAUGUUUUAAAUUUUUGAUACUCAAAUGAUUGUGAAACUGAUGUAUAUAUGUGGUAUAUUGUGUGUAGAAAGUUUCUACCAAAAAUCAUUUGAUUUGGUUGAGCAAAACUUGAAAUUUCGAAACUGCAAGAAAUCUGGAAAUGGUCAUCCGAAGGCCUGAACAGUGUAUCUUUGAUUGAACAUAACUCUUUGUACAAAAGUCAAAAUCAAGUGCCGUUUGCGGCAUUUGAAACUAGACAUUCUUAACUUUAAAAGGGUAUAAAAAUCACUGUCUAGUUCGGUUUGUGUGAACUGCAGUGAACUGAUAAGUUCGGCUGUUCUGUUCAGCUUUUUCAUUCGAAUGGAAAUGAAAAGCUGUAACUUGUGGCUUGAAUUUGAACUACUUGUGAACUGAUUUUGGAAAUGAUUUCUUCUGAUGAAAUGUAUCUUUCAGAACCUAGUUUUCAACGCCACUAACCAUUCUCAAUUUCAAGUUGUAUUGGGUGAGAUAUGGCCUGAUUUUUAAAUUGCAUCAAAACUGGAAACUGGAAAGUUUCUUCCCUCUUGCUGGCCGAAUGGUUAAACUUGUUUUGGAAUGUUUUGUUUCGAAAACUUUGAUGUCAAUUACCUCUAAAUUAUUCAUUGGAUGUAUAAGGAACCUUAGUUCAACAUUUGAGCUAACUGAGGUUGAUUGUGUGGUACAAAACAUUUGAAAAGGAAAGAGAACCACGGAUGGCAGAUUUGCUUUGAAAUUUUCCCGAACUUUGACUAUUUUGUUAACUAUCUUCCCACGUGAGUUUUUGCGUGAAAUUUGGUAGAGAUAUAGUCACAUAUGGAAUAUUUAGUGUACCAAAUUUCGUGUAUUUUCAAUGCCAUUUCGAUGGCUAAAUGAUACUUCAAAGAUAGCUUUUCAAAUCUGGAAAAUGACUGAACAGUUUGCAAAACGCGACCAACUUUGAACUGAUGUAUCUCAAUACUCAAAACUCCGAAUUUACUUCUGUUUGUUGUGUUUGAAACUUUGUUUAGAACUCUUAUUUUUUUAUGAAUUUCAAAGGCUAAUUCACUUUCUGUGAAUUAUGCCGAAUUUCCAAAGUUUGCUGAAAAACCAAUACUGGUUCAAACCUGUCUUCUUGGAACUGAAAUUUUGAGCUGAAUUAUGAAUGCUUUCUAGUUGGAAUCAUGGAAAAGUGUCUUCUAAAAAUUUUAGUACUCUGAAUUUGGUUUCUAACGAUAUAAAAUUUUCCAUUUUUGGACUUGCGAAAUUCGAGAUACGAUUUUUCAAAGUAAUGUCGCUCUAAACUGGAAAAUUUCUGUUUCAACCAAAUUACUCCUUUAAGAAAUUUCCACCUUCCUUUGUGAUUGUUAGACUGUUUUAAAUUUGAUUUCAUGGUUUAAUACAAGGUCUCUUUGGAACUUUGAACUUUCAUUUCAAAUCUUGGUCUCCGAAGGUUAAAUCUCUCUUGAUGCAAUUACUUGUUCGUAUAACUCUCUUGGUUAAUGGUACUUCUCUUCGUAUUUAAAUUAGUGACUUCAACCCCUAUUCUUAUGGCCUUGAUAAUUGUACUAGAGUUGGCAAUUAUACAAGUAUUUUAAAAGAAUGAUUUGAAAGGUUUCUUGUGAACUUAAUUAGUAAUACCGGAAUGCUUUGGCCAAACUUCCAAGUAAAUAUAUCCAUCUUUCUCGAUUUUCGUACCAAAACUUAGAGAUCUGUUUAAUCUUCAACUUGGAGAAUCCUGGACAUGACUUGACUUGGAUCAAUGUAUUCUUGGGUAUUUUUAAAUGCUACCCUCGUGGAUUAAGUUAUUAAGUGAUAUUUGGAUUCGAUUUGAACGCGUUAUCUCUUAAGUGAGAAUAACGGAAAUACUACAAGACCUUGGCUGAAUACCUAGGUGAAUUGUAAUUGUACAUGUCUCAGGUGAUCAAAAGGAUCCCGAGGAACUCGUUUGAUCUUAUCUCGCUCUUGUUUUACACUCUUGAUUUCAGUGAGUGUUCCUUAUGUGUUUAAGUGUUAAGUACUACUUAUAAUUGUUUCUAUGAAAUUUUCCACCGUUUUAAGGCGAGUGUGUACUUUAUCUCACUCGACCUACUAAAAUGACAAAUUUCUACCGUUUAACCGUGAAUUUCUACCAUUUACCGAUUUACUUGAUUACUUGCGCAUGUUGUAAGCUCUAAGCUGAAUUGGGUCCUGCCCUUGGUUACUAACCUGCUCGAGCCAGGACUGGGCUUGGUCGGGUAGGAUGGAGUCCUGGGCUACUGUAUUGGUAUACUCGAGUAUUAUCACUGGAGGGAUAAGGCGAUGGCCAGACAAACCGGGGGAAUUAUUGGAGUUAUAAGGUGAAGCUGACCGAAACAGUUUCACGUGAACACCGUAUCCUUUUAAUGUGUGUUUAUUUCUGUAAAAUGAUAAAUGUCUCAUUUUAAUGUGCCAAUGCGAAAUCUUGAACCGGACAUGUGUUAUGCUCAAUUUACUUGAUUUAUUAUAACUGUUUAGGUGUUUUGGAACCUCACUGGGCUGUUUAGCUCAUUCCAUGCUUUUGUUUUCCUUAACAGGGUUCAAGACCGAGAGUACUCGCGAAUAGUACUAAGUUAUUUUCUUUUGGAAACUUUAAGUUAUAUUAUAGCAGACGACUGUAGUACAUAUACUUUGGGGUUGUAUUUAAGCUUGAAGAUUGAGGUAAUUUUGAUAACUUGUGAUGUAAGACUUGGAAGUUUAUUUAAGGGAGAGAUUUUUCUUAAUUUGAAUUUUAUUAUUGGUUGUGUGCCUUUAAAUUUAAAUUUGACUUGUAUCGAGUCCCGACGAGAGCUGGACAGGCGUUUCGCAGAUACCCUUGGGUUCGCCCUUGGGAGAAGUGGGAGCGUCAUAGGAUAACCCAAAGUUAUAGACGAGAUUUGAAAACAAGUUUGUUGAUUUUGCAGGAACUCAUUUCGAGUAUCUCCCAUUCAGUACAGGAAGGAGGAUUUCCCAAGAAUCUCAUUUGGUUUAGCCAAUAUUGAACUUCUAUUAGCUCUUUUGUUUUACCAUUUCGGCUGGAAAUUUUCGAAUGGAAUCAACUCCAAUAAUUUGAACAGAAGCGAGACUGGCGGAUUAGCCACCUCAAGAAAACACAACCUUUUCUUGAUGGCUUCCAUGUAUGAUCCUACACCUGAUAUGGGGUGCGAAACUCCAACAACAUAUUCAAGAAUAUCACCACCAAUAUAGUUUGGUUCAAAAUAAAAGAUAACUAUUUGUUGGAAAAAUAAAAACAUUCCUGCCACCCCUCAAAUUCAUAUUGUGCAAAAAAAAAGGUACAACACUUUCUUAUUCCCCUAAAAAUAUGUAAACAAAAUUGCCAUACGUGCACAAAUCCCAUUUCAAUUUAUAGUACUAUGCAUCUACUCUCAAUGACUAAUAACAUAACUUUACUCCUCCAACAGUUCAAGAAACUGGCUUAUCCAAAUUUCAGCUCUGCUCAACUUUGCUAGAGGCAAAAUAGCUUUCAGGUUAAUAUAAGUUUAUUAGCUUUAGACAAAUACAAGUUAAUCACUUCUUGCGGUUAUGAACAAUCCCAUUCCUCCAUGCAUAACUACUAUGUUUCUCAAAAUCGUGAUUUCUUGAAGUCUUGUACCUUGACAAGAGUCAAUCAGCAUCUUUUACCUUUCAUUCCUUAAUCCCAACUACCCCAAAUUACCGCCAAUCUCAUUGGAUUUCAAAUUUUUUGAUGCUAGAUUUCGAUUAUCAGAGUUUUUUUUAAACCAUCCCAACCCACUACCUGGAUCUAGCGCACAUUUGUUUGGGUAGGAGUUUAUUUGGAUGAUUUAUUUGAAAUAAUUACUGUAGCACUUUUUGUGAUGUGAUGUAUAUGAGAUAAAAAAGUAUUGAGAAGAUAAAAAGGUGAAUGAAAUUUGUGAAAUAAAUUAUUUUAUUUCAAAACUAUGCAAUCCAAACACACUCAAUUAUUAUUACCAUCUGGGAUCUCAGUAUAAGUCUAAUAGCAACUUAAGAUCAACUUUCAAAAAUUGCAAUCAACUUCAUCGACGUGAAGUUCUUGGUCAGAAAAAGCAUGUCACAAGGAAAGCCACACGUUUUGUCAAAGAAUUACUACCUUUUUAGCAUUUUCAACAGCCUUUUUACCUCUAUAGCCAACCCACUACACCACAUUGCCAUAGAAGUGCACAAACAUUUUCAUGUCCAAUUUUGUUUUUCCAUCCAGUUAAUCAACCAUUUGUUAGAAAUAUUUCCCUAUAACAGUCGCAAGCUGCCAACUAGCUAGAGAAAAAACAUGAUAUGAAAAAAUUGCUAUUACAAAGACGUCAUACAUAGCAGGCCAAUUAACAGGGAGAUCACAAUUCAUUUUAAAAUGGCCAGACAGCCUGGAAUAGUCAUUGUUGGUGCUAUAACAAGAAAAUGGUACAAGACAAUGGCAAGAAUAAACAAGAAUAAAAGAUCUUCAAAUCCUGAUUUACAGUCACUUUUCCUUUAAAUUUUAUUUGUCUGAUACAAGUGUAAUCUAUUUAGACAAAUAUCCUUUAAGAUAAUUUGCAAAGUGUUUCCAACCACUUGAAUAAUGGAGUGCUUUUGUAGAGAACUCUAGUAAUAGGAAAGUGAUUUUCUACAGUAAACCAUCUUCUACUUAAUCUUUUAUAGAAUCAGAUUAUAAUGUCCCAAAAGUCAUACUUUUUGUUCAAUGAUUUCAUGUCUUUUCCUUAGUUUGUGUUAGUUGAGGUUUCUCUGCGCUAACACAUGUAAAUAGAAGUUAAUUAGGGGUUUUAGACAUCAUUUAAAGGGGUAACCACCAAUAUAUGAAAAGGUUCUAAAAUAGCAAGUUUUUAGUUUCUGAUCAUUACAGGAUCCGGCCUUGGAUCCUUGUCUGCACAGAAUCAGAUUUGGCCAGUUCAGCAUGCCAAUGAAGAUCUGAGGCCAGAUCCUUCUUGAUCCAAGCUAGAUCCGGGGCCAUUUCCCCAUUGCAAAAUUCUAGACCUCUCCGUCCAGAACCCGGCUGAUGAAUCCAACUUGAUCCAAGAAGGAUUCGAUGCCAGAUUCCAGCUAGUUCCUACUAAUUUGAAAAUUUUUGACAAUCAUGAUGCCGUUAGGGCCUUCUAUUGAAUACAGAAUAGCAAAACAAAUUAAGUGAAAAAGAACAAAACAUCAAUCACAUUAACAAAUUAUCCUUGUACAAAGCAAACAGCAAAUGACAGACACUUGAUAUGCUUUAAAGCAGAUAAUGGAAAAAUGGACCUGCAAAUAGUCGGAACUAGUCUUUAAUAAAGUUUUAUUUUAUUCAGAAUUUUUCUAGAUUCGCUGCUAUAAUACAACAACUUAUGAUCAUUUUCAUGCAACAAAAUUCCCCGAUAGCACGGUUUAUGGUAUAGUUGAGAUUACCAGAAUAUAGAUUGUCAUACUUUCUCUAAUCACCAUAUCCAUAUAUUUUUCUUAUUUUUCUUCCUCAAAACUAAGCAUCAUAAACAUUAAAUCAUUUAAACCAGCUAUAAUCCAAUAUAUAAUCACUAGGGUAAGCUCGGAAUCAGAGUAUACCUCAAAGAACACAUGUUUUUCUAGAUUCUCAAAAACUACAUCGAACUCUGAACACUUCACAUACUAAAGCUUCAAAACUUAUAAAAACUACACCUUACAGGAACAAAAAAAAUAAGAACUUCAUUUCAAAUUAUUCAGAAGCAUAUUCACUCAACACCAGAAGAUUGGCACGAGAUGAAGGAAUAAAACAUGCAACUAGAGAAAACAAGGCCCAUCGAAUGAUUGGAACUCUUUUUUCCAGUAAUAUAUAGCAAAUCAAUCAUCCAAUUUUGCUAGAGGCUAUAUGAGCAAAAAUUGAGUUCAUUUCUAUCUAAGUCCUUAAUAAGCUUUAAACCUAAGAUUUUUCCUUUCUAUAAAGAAAAGACAACAAAAGACGAAGAUCGACAAAGAAACCAAGAAAAAAUAGUAGUUAGAAUUUUAGCUGAUCUUUAAUUUAAUUGGGAAUUUAUGAGAGAGAAAGGGAGCACAUUUUUCUUAUGAAUUUUUCAUUCACUUUUCAUUAAAGAGAAAGAAGAUAGCGUCCAAUAUAGAUGGGCCAUUUUGAUUGUGCCACAAACUAUUCUAGGCCUAAACUUCUAUAACUGUUUGGACUAUUAUUUGAAAAUUGUUGUAGCCUUCUAAAGUCAAAACAAACCCAAAAUAAAAAAUAUAGAUAAUUUCACAAACUUUCCCUAAGGUUUUUAAUAAUUGCAAAGAGCUCCACUCAAGUUUUAAAAUUACAUAUACGUCCCUACUUUUACUAUUUAUAUAACAGUGUAGGUCCAACAAACUAGAUUUUCUCUCAAAAAUCCUAAAUUGCACUUUUUCACAAAACAAAGAAAGAAAAACAUAGUAUAUUCAAUCAUUUUCUUCCACAUUUUACAAAAAUAGACAGAUCUAAUCCCUAGCAACCAUCCAAUCAUAAGUUCCAAAUUGCAUAUUCAACAUCAAUGCUUGUCAUGCAAAAAAAUAAAAAUACAAACACAAAAAAUACACAAACACAGACACAUACCAUUGACAACCAAUUUUAUACCUCAAAAUUAAAUCUCAAUACACAAAUACCUUUUUAAUAUAAGCUAAUCUAGGCUAAAAAUUUUUAGUUCAAUAAAAUCAUAAUAAAAAAUUUUUAGUUCAAUGAAAGAAAUCCUUAUGCAAUUAUUGACAUUUUACAAAACAAAUUUUUUGCCAACAAGCAAAAUAUGACAAAUUUCACAUCUUUGGUUCUUCUACCUAUUUCAAUAAUCAAUUUCAUUAUUUAUUUUUCUAUUACUGCGAAACUUUCAUUUCUCUCUAGUUUGACAUAUAAUCUGCUCCCUCUGUUAAUUUUGUAAUUUCAAUUUGCUAAUAUCCAUAAAAUUGAAGAUAAUAAAAAAGGGUAUAGUAGUAUAUUAAUUAGAAAGAAUGGAGCAAAAAUAGAUAAGAAAUAGAAAAAUAGAUUUUUUUGGGUUUUGUAAAUCUAUUGCUUUAAAUUGAGAAGUGUCUACCAAGUGAAAGGCAUUUUAGGUACUUUACUAUGCCAGGGGAUGUAAGUGUAAUUUCUUAAACUUGAAGGGAGUCGAGUGAAAUUGUUUGAAACCUCAAGGGAAGUUCCUGAAAUUAUCCCAAAAAAUAAGUAUAACCAUGGUUGCCUUUAUUUUUCAAUUUCCCUUUCUUUGUUAGCGGCUUUCUCUAUCACCAUUCUUUUACAAAGAAGCAGAGAAUCCCAAUUUUCAACCAUCUAAAAUUUAAAAUUUAUAUAACGACAUUCUUGUUCAUUGAAGAAAUCCAAAUGGCAAUGGGUUCCAGUAAGAAAAGAUAAAAAUCAAAAAAAAAAAAGAAAAGGAUAUUUAAGAGUGAUUUUAGCUAGAAAAUACUCUCAUUUUACAGUUCUGAUUGUUUGUGAGAUGAAAUCAUUGUAAAAGCUUUUCAAGCUUAAGUGAGACAUUCAAUUUGUAGCAUUGUGAGGGUUAAUUAAAGUUAGUUUUAGAACUCUUUGGAUCAACCAAGGAGUACUUGGGGUGAAUAAAGAGUGAUCCUUCUAUUUUACAAGAUUUGUUUGCUUCACCAAAUUGAAGAAAUUUCAUUAGUGGAAUAAAACUUCAAGUUUGGUUAAAUUUGGAAGAGUUUGUUUGCACUAUCUUAUCAUUUCUCUAAUUCCUUUAUUUCAUUUGUUUAAUUGCUCUUCAUUGCUUUAUUCUACUUGAUUUUACUUGAUUUUUGUGUAAACAAGUGAUUUGAUCACUUCGACAACUUGGUAAAUUUUAAUUGUGCAAAAUUGCCUCUAAUCCAACUAGGUUCUUAAUCAACCUAAUUCACCCCCUUCUUAGGUUGCUUUGGGACCUUACAAUUGGUAUCAUUACUUUGUUUAUUUCAUCAAAGAAAUCAUCACUUUGUUUGUCAUCAUCAAAAAGGGGGAGAUUGAAGACUUAGGUUGACCAUUCCUUGGUUUUGAUGAUAAUGAAACAAAAUGCUGAUUUCGACUAAUGUAUUAACAUAAGAAAUGAUUUAGGAUAGGUUCUUAGUCAUUGAAAUAAGAAGAAAAGAAAGUCAAGAAUGAAUAGAAGAUGACAGUGUCUCAUGGAUCAAACGCAUCUCAUUUGUUGGUUGUCCGAAAUAUUUAGAACAAAGAUUAGAACAUUCUGACCUUCUUUCGGAUGCAUCUGUCAGAUGCAGAAAAUUUGGAUCAAACAUCUAAUUGAGUUUCGAAUGCAGGGCUUGGGCGUAAAGGGUUCCUGUUAGAUGUUGAGCAGCUCUAACGACUAGUUUUCUAGUAGCUAGUUUUUUGACCAUUGAAGAUGCUUUUGAGGCAAAAAUUUCAUCAUCUAUAAAUACUCCCAAGUAUGAGAAGAAGAAUGACUUUCGUCUACACAAAAUACAAGCUUUCAAGAGUGAUAUUUGAGUAGAAAUAUACUUCGAUUAUUGUACGGGUGUGGAGAAAGUUGGGUUUGUGAGGCUUCUCAGAGAGGAGAAAUAAAACCUUUGUGAAGGUGAUCCUCAUUUGUAAAGUAGUUCUUAAUUGAUUGGAUGAACUUUCAAUUGUAGUUAGUUGAGAGUUAAUUAUGAGAGCUGUAAAACUCCUUGGUUUAACUAAAGGCUUUUAGGAUGAGGAAGCAGUGAGCCUUCACUUGUACAAAUUGGUUAGUGUCACCAUCAAUUGAAGAAAGAACUUGGUUGAUUCAACUUCAACUUUGGAAGAAUUUUGAGAGUUUUAUUAGUUUGCAAUACUUUCACUUUAUUGUUCUAUUUUUGUUAUUUGUUUUCUGACUUAAUUUGCUUAUAUAUAUAUAUAUUAUUAUUAUUGCGUUUGUUUGAGUACUUGUUUACUUAAAUUAUUUCGGUUGAAUAAUUGGGUGAAAAUUGGUCUUUAUUUGCUUUAAUUUUUAUCAAUCUAAUUUACCUCUCCUCUUAGGUUAUUUUAGGACCUAACACUUGUCCAACGACAAUCCUUCUACAUUUGGCGAUGUCUCAUUUGUUACUGCAGCAAUGGGUACAAUCUUGAAUAUUCAUCAUGGAAGCAACACCGCCUCUAGAAGUUUACUUUGCCGAUAGUGAAGGGUUCAACUUUUAUCAAGUACUUUGUACUGAAUCUUGAUCAACUUUGUUGUCUUGAUCAUGGUUCUCAAGUCUAUAAUGCAUUAUUUUGUCUUCUUCUACUCAGGAGUAAUAUUAUUGAUCAUUUAUUUUAUAGUAGUCAAUUAAUCAUAACUUGGAGUACUGUUCUUGAUAUUGAUCAAUCCUAGACCCCCGAAUUUUUACUUCUUCUGAAUGGGGUCUAGAUUGAUCUCUAGACCAAGAAUACUUAGUAUUUUGUAAAGAAUUUUCUUGAACUUCUAGAUUUUGAGUAAUUAAUAUCGUACUGAAUUAGUUUGUUUUCCAUUUGUUUCAUUUCCCCUGUUUCUAGUUUUCAAUUCUCAACCCUUAAAGAAUGCGAAUAUUUACUCCUCUACCUUAGGCAUGUUUUCCAAAUUCAUGCAAAUAUUCAUACUUGAGAUUUCUUUUUUCUUUUCAAUCUCUUGUUGGACUGAAGCUAUCUAUAGGAGUGAAUUUGGCAAAAGUUCUAGUGGAGUCAAACUCUUGCUUAUUUCUCGAAUCCUGUCAUAUCUUCUACUAUAUACAUUAUAUGAUUAAGAGAGUAUUUCUCUUGUUUUAAUUUAUUGGUAAUAAUUUGGAUGUCAAUGAAGUGAUUUAGUCAUUUAAAGAGGUUGAUUUGAUAUGUGUAGGACGUGUUCUUAAUUUUGACUUGUUGCUUGAUAAGUGUUCAGUUUGCAUAUUUAUGUUUGGAUGUUUAUGUGUGUUUUAGUGUUUUUCAUUUAAUUUAUGUCUGGAUGUUCAUUUUGCAUAUUUAUGUCUGGAUGUUUAUGUGUGUUUUAGUGUUUUUCAUUUAAUUUCAAGUUAAAUAAUUAGAAAUUUAUUUGGAUUUUACAGUUUAUGGUUAAACUUAGGAAAAUUGUGUUCCUAUGGAACUAAACAAUGAAAAAUUCAUGAUUUGUAAGUUUUGAAGAUCCAAGCAUCAAUUGGAAUGAAAUGAGAAUAUAGUUAAAAGUUUCUUGAUGACAUAAAGUGGUUUUCAAGUGUACAUGAAGUGCAAAUGAUGAAUAAAUAAAGUGCAAUGAAGAAACAAAAAGGAUCCUUGAAACCAACACACUUAAUUAUCUUCUGACCAAUUAGGGGUAUUUUGCAUUGACAGUCGGUCCAAGCCUUCUAUGAAUUUUGCAGGAGAUUUGUUUUCAAAUUCAGAUGAGAUGCCAAAUCAAGCUUCAGUUUCACCCUCCUUGCUAGAGGUUUUUAAAGCUUUCCAAGAUGAAAUAUCCUGUAGACUUCCCCCAGUUAAGGAUGAUCAGCCUCUUCGCUCCACAACUAAAAAUCCUUGGCAAAGGAGGUAUUUAAAUUUGCCAAGAACAGUCCUUACUCGUCAAGCCUCUAAGGCUCCUCAAGAACUUAGAAAAUUGCUUUGUAUCCAUAGUGUUUCUUUGCUGGUAGUUUUAGAGCCUAUGAUUGAUACUUCUAGUUUUCUAGAAUUUCAACAGAAGUUGGGGUUUGAAUUUGGUUUGUUUAAUAUAUCAAAUAAAAUUUGGACUUUAUGGAAGUUGGGUUUCCAUGCUUCCUCAAUUAGUAAUAAAGAGCAGUUCAUACACCUUGCAAUAUCCCAUGAUUCUUGGAGUGAAGCUACAUUUGCUACCUUUGUUCAUGCGAAGUGUACGCCAGUUGAACGGCAUUGCUUAUGUUUGUCUCAUAUUGCUUCAUCGAUUGGUGAUCGCCCAAGGGUAGUUGGAGGGGACUUUAGACAUUAUAUCCUCUUUGGAGGUAUACUCUGGCCGUGCACCUCAGGAUUUGCAAGCAAUAACGAAUUUUAACAAUUUUAUCCUGACUGCUUCAUUGAUACAAAUUUCGGCUGUGGGUGGUAAGCAUACAUGGACUGGAGUUAGGCUUGGUGUGUGCAUUUGGAAGCGUUUGGAUAGAGUGCUAUGUAAUAGUAGUUAGAAGCGUUGGUUUUCUCAAUCAUCAAUUCAUCAUUUGAACAGAUGUUUUUCAGAUCACUCGUCAUUGCUCUUUCAAUUAAGUGUGAUGUCAGUGGGUGGCCCUAAAUCGUUUAGAUUCCAACAAAUGUGGAUUCAUCACUCUUCUUUCUUGUCUACAGUUAAGAACAAUUGGGAAAUUCCAAUGGAGUAUAUAAGGAUGUUUCGCUUUUGUCAGAAGCUUCGCAGGCUUAAGUUUUGUCUUCGAGAUUGGAAUAAAAAUGUUUUUAAUAAAGUUGCUGUGGCAGAGGAGAACCUUAGGAGUAAAAUGGAGAUGUAUGAGCAGUGUUCCACUAAUUCUAAUCGAGUCGAAUGGAGUAAGGCUCAAGCUGAACUUUCAUAGUGUUUAGCAUACGACAAAACUUUUUGACAACAAAAAGCCCACAUCAAAUGGCUCAAAGAGGGUGAUUCUAAUUCUAAAAUUUUUCAUGCCUCUUUGCUUUAAAAACGAGCUCCUCUUUCUAUUCAUAAAAUUAAGGACAGUGAUGGUGAUUGGAUAGAUGAAGAAGGACAAAUUAUUCAAGUCGAAAUUUCUUUCAUUCAAGAUUUGUUUAAUCAGGAUGUUCAAAAUCAUGAUACGGUGGCUCAAGAAAGACUUCUUAAUUGUAUUCCUCAGGGUAUUUCUUCAGACUAGAAUAGUAAGCUCUUAGAGCAAAUUUCUAUGCGAGAAAUAAAAGAAUUUGUUUUCCAAUUGGAUGGUCAAAGUGCUGCAGGGCCAGAUGGUUUCACUGGUUUAUUCGUCAUGCAUUGCUUGGACAUCAGAUUUUAUUAGUUCAAUUUCAAUCAUAAAUUCAGAUAAUGCCAUUUGCUUUCUUUCGACUUAGUUGAUGCUGUUAAUGAUUUUUGGUAUGGUGUUCCUAUUCCAAGAGUGAUUGCUAGUUAAAAGAAGUUCCUUUAAAUUGUUAAAAAGAAUUGUUUUUGGCUUUAUUGAGCUAUAUUUCCUAAAAAUAUCUUUCCUUUAAUGUGAUAAAUUUGACUUCUUGUUUGCAUUAUGAUACAUCUUUGCACAAAAUAGAUGUAUUCCACCAGAAAUCUGGCCUGGUCAUUAUGAAUCAUGGAAUUAUGGUACUUCUCAUCCUCAUUGGACUGCAAUUCAAAAAGCUAAGAAGGUUUUUACUAAAAUGAUGAAUGACAGUGUGAUGCAAGACUCUCAACCAAUUGAUUCACCAUCAUCCUCAUAGGCAUCCAGCUCACAAACCACUUUGCCAAAGUUUGUGACAAGAUCAUAUCAAAGGACAAUGAUCAAUAAAGCCAAAAACAGGAGAAGACAUCUUGAUUACAUUGAAGAAAUGAACAUAACAGAUCCAGAUAGCACCCCAUCUGAUACUCCGAAUGAAGAUAUGUAUUAUUAAAGGUUGUUUAAAGUUUGUAUUAUUGUGGGUCAUCGUGUUUGCCAUUAUUAAAACAUAAGUUUGUCUUGUAAUAAGAAAGUCAAAAGAUAAAAGACAAAUUUCAAGAUCUGAUUUAAUCCAACUUCUUCCAGAAGAAUGGGUUACAGAUUAUGAAAGGUUACAUCAUGCUGCAAAAAAUGAACCAAUUGAAUCUAAUGAUUCAAAAAUUGGUCCUUCUGUUAAUGGAAGAACUUCCAUAAGUUUUGACCAUUCUCAUUUAGUUCCUAAAAAGAUUGACACAUAUCCUUCUAUGAGAAUGAUGCAAGUACCCAUGCAAUUGCCAACAGAAUAUGAGAAAUCAUGGGCUAUUCAUACAGAUGAGCACCCCAUUAGUAUUGAUUCCAUCCUUCAAAGUAAUGAUAUCAUUGAAUACUUUAUCAAAAAAGGACAACCAGUAUACUAUUUCCAGGAUCCUAUCUCUAGCCCCAUCUAUUUUGAUGUUUGUAAUAUUUGUGAAGAAUGUCAACUAGCAGAACUUCUUGGAUGUGAAGCCAAAGAUCUGUUUGAUCUUCAAAAAGGUCAAAACCCAAACAAGUGGAAAACAGGCCUUGCAAGAAAGAUUUUCAACCACAGAAUCCUUAUGCAGAAGAUAAAGAAUUUACUUCUCUUAGAAGUAAAUUUGAUGGUUUCCAGAUACCUACUUCUUGGGUUUCAAAGCCAAAAUUUUCCAACUAGUAACCGUACUUACAGGUUUAGGGGAGCAGUCACAUGAGUCCUACGACUUACACGCUUAUUGGGCGCUAGAGAGAUUCAAACCCCAGGCCUUUAACACUUAAGUGUUAAAGGUCUUGAGUGUUAAGGGUCUGGGGUUCAAAUCUCUCUAGCGCCCAGUAAGCGUGUGAGUAGUAGGACUCAUGUGACUGCUCCCCUAAACCUAUAAGUACGGUUGUUGGGUUUCUCCUAACAACUUAAACUUUUAGGCCAAAUGGUAUCAGAGCCAGAAUGUGGGAGGGCUCAAGUGUCAAAGGUCUUGAGUAGGGAUGGCAACGGGGGCGGGUACCCGCGGGGGGUCAUUGGGGCGAGGGGUGGGGCGGGGGAUGGGGGGGAAUUUUUUCCCCCCUUUAGAAACGGGGCCGGGGAGGGAGGGGAGCCACCCGUUUGAAAAUAUAUAUAUAUACGUACAUAAUUAUGUACAUAAUUAUAUAUAUAAUGAUAUUAUCAAUUAUACUACUAAUUAUACAUGUCUAUUAAUAAAAAUUAUUACUUAUUUAUUUAUACUAAAUUUAUUAAUACAUUUAUGGUAAAUUCCUAACUACACUUAAUACAAUAACACUUUUUUCUAAAAAAAAUACAAUAAUAAUUUAGUGAUUGUAUUUGUAUCAAAAGUGAAAAUUUGAUUAUUUUAGUUAUAUUUGUUUUAUCAUAUUAGAUUGUAUUCAAAUAACCUUUGUUUAAUUAUUUUUAUGAGUUUCAAUUGUGAAGUUACAAUGAAUAAUAAUUUGGUGAUGUGUUGAUAUUUUAGUACUUGAUUAUUUGCUCAAAUUUAAUUAUAAUGAAAUUAUAUAAUAAAAUUUUUUUAACCUCACGGGUGCCCUCACGGUGGAAGCGGGGCGAGGCGGGGGAAGCUGGGGGCGGGGGCGGGGGCGGGGGGAAUUAAAAUGCAAUGGGGCGGGGGUUGGGGGAGGUGUCCCCCGCCCCAUUGCCACCCCUAGUCUUGAAUGUUAAACGUCAGGGGUUCAAAUCUCUCUAGCGCCCAAUAAGCGUGUGAGUAGUAGGACUCAUGUGACUUCUCCCCUAAACCUAUAAGUACGGUUGUUGGGCCUCUCCUAACAGCUUAAGCUUUUAGGCCAAGUUAGUACUCUUAUUGUUUUAAUUCCCAAGAAGGAUACAUUCACCUAAUUUGCUGAUAUUUGGCCUAUCAAUCUUUGUACAUUUCUAAGUAAGAUUUUUACUAAAGUUUUGUGCAAUAGAUUUAAACUGUUGCCACCUUUCUUGAUUUCUGAUGAAUAGUCGGCUUUUUGUUGAAGGAAGGGAUAUUACCGACAAUAUCUUAUUGGCUCAAGAGCUGGUGCAUUCCAUUGAUAAGAAAAUCAGAGGCCAUACUAUGAUUCUUUAGCUGACAUGAUGAAAGCUUUUAAUCGAGAUAGUUGACAAGUAUAUAUUUUACAUAUUUUUAGUAUGUUUUAUUAGUUAGUUUUGAUGUGUUUUAGUCAUAUUUUUAGCUAAUUAACUAGGAAUUUAGUGAAAGUAUGUAUUUUAUGGUUUAAGUGAUAAAAAUUGCAUUUCUAUAGAUUUUACUGAUAAAAGCUUCAUUUUUUGUAGGUUUAAUGAUUCAAUCAUCAAAUGGCAUGAUUGGAGAAGAUAAUUGGAUGAUUGGUGAUGAUUUGAAGUGAUUAAAAGACAAUAUGAAGUGCAAGAGAGGAAAUACAAUUUUUUUCAGAUUUGACACCUUGUGGUAUUUUAGCAAUAUUUUGAGCUACAAGUAUCGGAUUGAGGUGAUUCUUGAACCAUUUGGAAACUAAAAGAUAGAUCUACAUUUGGUAUGAAGACAUAGAAGUCCGGUUUGUGAUACACCGAAUGUUAGGAGAUUGUUAUUUUUGGUUUUGAUUUAAUCACUUAAAUUUGUUUUGUUUAAAGACUAGAAACCCUAAAUUCAAAAAAAAAAAAAUCCUAGUUAUUUGUGACUAAUCGGUUUUCUUAAAUCUCUCAUGUUUUAAUCGAAACCCUACUUUUUAAUGGAAUUGUAAAAUCCCGCACAUUUUCUUAAAAUUCCUUUUACUUGAAAAUUAUUACUUUAUAAUAGCCUUAAUACCCAAUCACCUCACAAUAAGUGCAAAUGAAUAUAGAAGUAAGGGUUUUCCUUUUCGUUUUAAAGUUAGCGCGAAUUAGGGUUUUACGCCUAUCCGUAGUGCGACUAUCCGGUACGAAGUGUGGAUCAAAUUGGGUGAUUAAAAGUGAGUUUUAGAUGGUAUUAAGUGUGGGAUUAGAAGUGAUAAUAAUAAGUUAGUGAAUUAUAAGUUAAAACCCUAGUAUACGCGAUUUAAGGAAAAUCGGCUCGAACCGACGGGUAUCGCUCACUACCAAUUGACCACAUCACUUGACUACCACUUCCUCACCAUAAAAUAUCAUUGAUAUUGGUGCAAAAUAUCUCCCUCAUCCUUAGCCCUCUUAGCCGAAAUAUUUGACCAAAAAAUGCAAGGAAAAGAAAAAAUUUGAGAUGGAUUUUGGUUGCGACAAAUGGCAACCAUCCCUUAAGUGUUGACCAACCAAUUUUCCUCCAUAUUUAUCAUCAAAAAAACACACAAAUUGCCCUCAUUUUCUUCCUCCUAGCCGUGAAUAAGAGAGAGAGAGAGAGCAAGAGAAACAACUUCACUUCAUCUUGAUUUGCACCAUUUGAGUGAAAAAAAAUAAGAUUUUAAACCGAUUAACUUGUAAAUUGGAAGCUUGGGAAGCUUAGGGAACUAAAAAUUUCAAGGAGAAGUGGAGGAUAACUCUAGCAAGCUUUGUUUUUGAGGUAAUAUGGCUGACCACUCUUUUCUUUUUCCUUAAUCAUGUUGAAGUUGCUUAGUAGCUUGUAUUUGUGGUUGUAAUGCUUAUAUCAAGUGAUUUUGGAUGGUUGCGGUGAUGAAGUUGAGUUAGGGUUUGAAUGAUUCACUUAUCAUACUUGUUGUAUGGGUGGUAUAUAAUGUAAAUAAGUUGGUAUAAGAGGUGGUAGGGAUAGUUUCAAGCUAAAAAUGAGAUUUAGACCUUGAUUGUAGCAAAUUUCCAGAAUUGAAGUUAAGGUAUACCCUGUUCUGCCCGGUUCUAGUUCACCAUGUUAGAGGCUGAAUUAGGCCUAGCCUAAAACAUGAAAAUUGUAUAGAAUGAUGUUUUAUAAUUGUCUACAAAAUUUCAGCUCAGUCCGAGCACCAUAUCCUGUGAAAAGAUAAAAAUACCCCUAACUGCCAUAGGUAGAACGUUAGGGACAGUUUUGACAUUUUACCAAUCUGACCGCGUCUGUUCACCCUGAUCCGUAUGGAAUUAGUAUUUGGAUAAAACAUAGAAGUUGUAUUUCUAUGUCUUAGCUUUCCAACGCCCCUAAAAUCACCUUAAUCGGACUUCGGUAGCCUGAGUUAUUGUCGUUUAACCAUAGUGCGGUUAGCUAACCUGUUUGUGAGAUUCUGGUUUUGUACAAUGGAAUUUUGACCUGGAUACACUACGAACUGGACUGAGUGGUCUUCAUCAAAGUUGUAGGCCUUUGUCUUAGCUUCGAAACGGUAUAAAUUGCAUCCCAAUAUGAUAAGCGUAGACUUGGUUGUGUCCGUUACGCAAAACAACGUCAAAUCUGUCUUUUGUUUCUUGACUUAAACUUCAUUUCCGCACAUGUUCCUAGCUUGAUUUUGUACUUGUAUGACUUUGAACCUAUUGAACGGCUAUUGAAAUGAGAUUAUUUUGUGUGUGACUUUGGGACUGUUUGAGGAAACUAUUGAAGCCAUAAAUGGCUGAAAAAUUGGUAAACACAAGGGGCAUGCCGCCAAAUUUUCACUAGAGAUAUAAACUAGCCUUUGGAGUUCUAGUUCUGUGUUUUGCAAAGUUGACUUGGAUAUACUGAAAAUUGGGUUGAGGUGUUUUCAUGGAAGUUGUAACCUGUUGCCUAAGUUUCGAGAUACUACCUAAUACAUUUUGAUCCGAUAACCACAGCUCCAGUUAUGGGCAAAAUCGUGUAACCCGUUUUGUACCAUUUUCAUUUUUGCGCACGCGCACAUGCAUUUUUCAACCAUUUUUGCCGUUUAGGACCGUUUAGGACUACUUUUGUUAUUUUGUUACCAUUUCGGCCGUUUCGGCCAAUUUCGAUAUUUUUUUGGCCUUAACGUCGUUUUUUACCGCUUUUGAUUAUUUUUGACCGUUUUCGACCGUUCUCGAUCGUUUAAGUUAUAAACUGUUAUUGUAUGGCCGUUUCACUUAUGUGCGUAUAUAAUCUGUCAAUACAGACUAUGUGGCUUUUGACGGUGACGGUCAAGCUCAGUGAAUUGUAUUAUUUUUCGUGCCAAGCUUUAUCGAGUGAGUAAUUUGGUUGUUUAUUGAUGUGAAAUUGUUAAAGUGUUUUGUAUAUGUUAAAUGGAUACUUAGGUGAGGGUGUACUUUAUGUCACUCGAUCUAAACCCAUCUUUUGUUGUGAUUUCAUAUGUGAGAAUACAUGUCUUAUGUUGAGUAUCACCCUCUUGCUGUGUGCUGAUGGGGGUGGUUACAUGAUUUGAGUUGAACCCCUUUUUGCUGUGUGCUGUUGGAGUAAGUACUUUGUUGUGUACUUUAUUAAGAGAUAUCAUCUAUUGAGAGAUUGGAUAUCUCAGGGUUUGGUUCCAACCCGGUUCCAAGGGUAGACAAACUAUUCGAACCAGCCGAGGUUUGGUCGAAGUUAGUUUCAUGCUAACCUUAGGAUUUCGUUCUUUGUUAAAACUUUGAUUAAAGCUAAGUGAUUUUGUUUCGCUCGAGCUGUUGUGUACUGUUGACUGGCCAGCGGGGGUUGAUAAGGUGAACGGGAAAAGUAAGUAGAGUCUACGGACCAUGAGUACUUUGGUUGACGGAGUGUCAACAGGCGUUUAAGUUCGGGGAAUUGAACUGGUUUUGGAGCUACCCGUAUCCUACCCUUGUGAUGUUACCUUUCUGUUAUUGAUGUGAACUAUCCUGAUUUACUUAUUUAUUUGGAUGUGAGUUUACAUUUUACCCCCUGAUUAUUCACUAAGCAUAUAACUUACCCUAUUCUAUUUGUUUUCCUUAGCAAAGGGCUGUCGCGGGGAUCGCUCGGGAAGGUGUUUAGACUUUUAGCUAUAAAAUAGUUGAGUUUGUACUUAUUAUAAGUUGACUAGUAAGAUGUAUAUAAUUGUCGUGGUGGUUGUAAUUAUCAACUUUUCUAAGGUUUACUUUCUGGUACUCGUGGUAUAUAUGAUUUGAUGUACUAGUUUAUGCAACUUUUGAAAAUGUAAUCGUUUAAAUAGAACUUUCUUUUGGCAGACCUCUAUUUUCUAGUUUUAGAGUAUCGAGUCCUGGUGCAAAUUAGGCAGACAUCCCGCAGAUACCCUCGGGUUUGCCCUUGGAAGAAGUGGGUGCGUCACACAGUUCAGUCAUUUUUAUAGUCUAAAAGUCAAAAUACAGAAGUACAACUCUGUUGCUGCAAGCUAAAAUAGAGCUCUGACCAAUCUUUGAUAUUUUGGUCAUAUCUCGGUCCACAGAGCUCCAAAUUGGAUGAUUCUUGAGGCAUUGGAAAGUUAACUCAAAAGAAAACAACUUUUAUGCUUUGAACAAGAGUUAGUUCAGCCUCCAUCAUCAAGAAAAAAGUAGUUAAAGUGUUGCCAAAUGCACAGAAGUGAAAACGCGAUUUCAUGAAAACGUGGCUCAAGUCGUGUAUUCUCACCUGAUUGCUGUAACUUGCUCAUCAACUUGCUCUACUUUCACACAACUUUUUCAACUCAAUUCUAGCUAGCAAUUUUGGCUGUAUCUGAUCAAGAAAAGGUUGGAAAGUUGGAAAAAUAACUCAUGGAAGAUUCAAGAGUCAAAAAUGACAACUUUAACGACUCUUUUUGACCUUGAAUUCUUCUAUAAAUAGAGGCCUUUGUAGAACAUUUAUACAACUUUGGAAGGCUAGAGAAACUCACCAAAAAUGUAGCUUUCACUAGAGUUUCCUUAGUUCAUUAGUUAGAAUAGUAUAGUAUAGAUAAUGUAGUUUAUUCUUCUUGUAUUGGUAGUUAGAUUUGGAUGAAGAUUGAGGAGCAAAGAUGGAGAGGUUGAUCUCAUGUGACAAGGGUGAUAUCUCUUCUACUACUUUCUCUCUUGUAUUAGAUUUCAUGUUUACCCUUAAUCAGAAUUCUCCAUUAAAACAGUCAAUAAGUACAUUAAAGUUUCCAUCAGUUGACAAGAAUUCCAACUGAUGCAGACAAAAGUAUCCCCACCAAACAUAAACUAUCUCAAAAACAUGUCCAAAUGUUUGCUACCAACCACAAUAGCAAGCACAAACUAUCUAAAAAACUACACAAAAGUUUUCCAACAAAUAUAAAGUUCAUCCUAAAAUCAACUAUCAAGUUGCUACAUUAAGUGAACUACAGCUAUCUAGAUCUUGCUUUCUUAGCUCUUAGGUUGUAUAGAACAUCAGCAACAGUAGGAUGACGAGCUCUUUUUGCCGGUGAAGCCAUGCUAGCAGCCUUGUUAGAUCCUUUCUUACUACCAUCCAUAGGUUGCAAUUAAAGAGGGAAACAAAAAAGCUAAUUAUGAAUCGAAUGAAAGAUCCUUCAUUAAUUUGGAAGUGUAGUGCACCUAAGCCAGCUUGAGAACAUGAUUGUCUGGUAGGUACAUUUUUUGCCACACUCGCAAUUGUUGGCCGUGUAUACUGCUUCCCAGGCCUGCAACUUAUUUUUUGAACAGGUGCAGCAGUACUACUUCCUUGUUCUUGAUAGACAUCUGGUUAUGAGGGCAACAUUGGUGAGGGAACUGAUGAAUCAACUGCUGAACUUGAUUCGGUUGCAUUUGCUUCAGGUGCCAACGAAAAACAAGUUCAUAUUAGUGCUGAAUUAAAGCUUUUUGAGUAAGCAGAGUGUAAAUUCUAGUUCAUGUUACCCUGUAGAAUUUACAGUUGGGAUGAAUGACAUUCUUGCAGGUCUUUGAAUUAUGCCUAGGCUGAAAACAUCUCUUGCAAUGUACCACAAGACCCUUCCUACUUGAGACUUGAAGCUUUUUAGUCUCGUCAGCUGCCCUUUGCCGAACCUUUUUGGGUCUGCCAGGCAAUCUUCGAACUGCAGGAGGAUUUGGGGGUUGUUCUUCACAUCUCACGCAGUAGUUAUCACUUGGGUAAUUUUCUCAAGUAAGUUCUCAGGUAAUUUUCACUACUAUAGCAGGCAUGCACAUAAUUAAGCAAAAGCAAUCUACAUGCUCCUAUUACAGCACAUGCAUGAGCACAGGGAUAACUUGUAAACUAGAAAUAACCACAUGUGCAAGUCUUUUCAUUCAAAUCCACCACAAUAGAUUUUCUAGAUCCACAAUCAAUUUCAUAUUUGCUCUUGCCAUCCCAUGUGGGAAUAUACAGACUACUAAAUUUUAGAUUCUUGUCAGUCUUCUCUACAAUGUUAGGAUAGAUUUUCCCUUGAAAUUUUUGCAUGCCAGACCUCUUCACUUGAAUCCUUUGCAUGAGUCUUCUUCGGAUCCACUCAAGCAUCCCUAUGAUAGGUAACUUUCUUGCUUCUAAAAUAUAAUUAUUGAAUGACUCGCAAAGAUUAUUCUCAAGAAUAUCACAUUUGUUACUUUGUCUAAAAUGUGACCUGCUCCGUAAAGUUGGGGGCAUUUUUUUCAGCCAUUCAGUUGCAUCCUUAUCUGAUCUUUCAAGGGAAUUCAUUGCUGAUUUCUAGUUCAUUUCAUUCCUAGCACUUGUAGCUACUCAGAACAAGUCUUUUAGCUCCUUUUCUUUGGACUUUUGCUUGAAAUUCUGGUACAUAUGCCUCAAGCAAAACCUAUGUUCAGAAUUUAGAAAUAACUCUUUCACUGCAUGGACCAGCCCUUUUUGUGUCUAUUUGAGAUGAAUGUAUGUCUUCCAUAUCCAGUCCCAGAUCAGCUAUUAAGAGUUCAAGGAACCACUUCUAUUAGUCAUACCUCUCCACCUCUAUCACUGCAAUUGCUAUUGGAACCAUGUUGUCAUUGCCAUCUCUACCAAUUGCUGACAACAACUGACCAUCAAAUGCAGAUUUCCAAAAACACCUAUCAAGACCAAUUAUUGGUCUAUAGCCAUUGAGGAACCCCUAUUUGGAGGCAUGAAGGCAAUAAUACAAUCUUUCAAAUGCCCCUUGUGAACCAUCACCAGGCGAAUCAAGCUUAAUCUUGACAGUGCCACCAUGAUUUGUCUCUCGGAUUGUAGCUGCAUAACUCCAAAGGUGCUGAUAUUGUUCCAUGUUUGUACCAAGCAUCUCAUCUUUUGCCUUUCUCUUUACUCUGCAUAUUGUUGGAAUGGACACAUUAAUCAUUAAAUCUCUUCUUAUAUUAUUCUAAAAUCCAGUUAGGCCACACUUCGGGUCACCUCUUAUUUUGUCUUGGUACUUCAAGCUCAAAUACUUGGCUGAUGCGUGCUUGUUGUUGUAAUCUCUAGCACACUUCGGGUCACCUCUUAUUUUGUCUUGGUACUUUAAGCUCAAAUACUUGGCUGAUGCAUGCUUGUUGUUGUAAUCUCUAGCACAAACAUGCUAUCCUUUCAAUGAUUUGAUCUGAAAGGUAGCUUCACCUUGGACUGGUGUUGCAUGAAUCCUCCAUGAACAGCCCUUUGCACACUUGGCAAUGAACCUUUUUGAGUAGUUUUUUACCUAAUCAACAUCAUAUCCAUCUCUGACCAACCAUUCUACCAACACAUAUCUAAAAACUCUAAAAUUUGAAAACUUGCGUCCAACCUUCAACUCAAAAUGUGGCUUUUUAAACUCCACUUCAGGGUUAAAGUCAAGGCAUUCUUGCUAGACACAAUUAGAUUCGCACUUGUCCAGCAAUUCUUUAUCAGAAACUACUGGUUCCUGCCAAUUCUCUUAUGGUAUAUGUGGUGUUCCUUCUGCUUUUGAUUUUUCCUCAGUAUUUUCACUGUUCCGUUCUUCAGCUUGGGAUGGAAUCUGAGAUAGCUGUUCGUAUGCAGCUUGAGAUGGAGUCUAAGAUGAAAUCUGAGAUGAGAUGUGAGGUGGAAUUUCUCCAAUAGCAUUGGGCCCUCCAGACUGCUUCUUACUUUUGCUAGACUUCUUUUUCUUAUCAGUUAAACUUUUGGCAGGGCUCUUGACAAGCUACCUUUGCAGGAAAGAAAACACAUGAUAAGGUUGAAAAUAGGUGGAAUGUAGUAUGGAUCCGCCUUCUGGUUUGUUGCACUUAUCCACAUCUUUCUUAGUUGCAAAGAUAUCCUCAUCCUCUAUUGUCUCCAACCCCUCCUUCAGCCAUUCAAGAUCAUCAUAAUCAGCAUAAUUUAUCUUCUUUGAAGUGGUGUUAUAACCCCAUCUUCUUUCUUUUUUGAAGUUUUUUUUUGCUAUUUUGAUAUUAUGUACCCCACCAUCAUUGAUGUCUGCACACUUAUUUUGGGAUGUUGAGGCAGCCUUUGUUGAAUUUGGCUCCACCACAUUAUCCCCACCAUGUUCUAGUAACUUUUCAAAAGGAUCAUCUCCACUGUAUGCAUAAAUUAUCCUUGUUCCCAUACCCCAAUGUGCUUCAUUCAUCAAUUUAACAUCAUCAUUAACCCUAAUUGGAUAUAGGCCACCAUCUAAGUCAACUGCUAGGGUACAAAACCAAAAGAUCACUCUAGUUGCUUGCUUAUCCACUUUUAAAAAUAUUUUGCAAAGGCUAACUAUUGAGAUCUCGUCUUCAACUCUAUCUUUAAAGAUGGCCAUAUGGUUCUUGUGUAGUGUGUGACAGCCUCACCUCACCCUAAGGCGAACCAAAGGGUUCAGCGGACCGCCUGCCCAGCUCUCGCCAAGACUACGAAGUCGAAUCACACAAAUCCGAUGUUACGCGAGAUAGGACCCAAAAGAAAAGAACGAUUGAAGACCGCCAAGCUUAAACAUGGGGAAAACGCUUUCAUAUAUACAUGUCGCUAGGUUUACAAUUCAAAUGGAACCAGUGAAACGAAAUACAUUUAGAGUUUGCUCAUUCUCAAGGAGCUAUACAAAAGAACAAAAGAUUUUCUAACUAGCUCAACUCGCUUCUCAAAAUCAUGAUUUCCAAAAGAGGUUCCUGUAAGGAAAACAAAGAUAACGAGGAGGGGGUGAGCUUACGCCCAAUGAGGUACCAAACAUGUAGCAGAAAAAUCAAGUAUUUCACGUUAUACAAACCAGAUAUACAUGCUCGCUAUAAAGUAAGACAGGUAAACACAAGAACUCAAAUAGGAAGGAUACAGGUGGCUCUCAGGAGCCAGCUUUCCAGCGCAGUACUUGACCCAAGCCGGUUGACUCUCCGUCAACGUAUAUAGAACCAACACGUCCGUAGACCCCACUUUACACCAAAUUCCGUCCACCAAACACCCCUUUACCGGGCCCGCUCACCUCAACAGAAACAGAAAUGGUAAUACUCGAGUAUACCGGAAUCCAGGGUCUCAAUACCCAAAGAUCCCAAAACAGACUACCGUGGUUCGUUAUCUAAUCAUCCAGGCCCUUGCCGGCCCGACUCGAAUAACUUAGCCACAGGAUUUGAGCUCAUAGGUCACAGAAAGGUCGUUGGUUACAAGUUUUCAAACGACAUCCGAACAGAUACAGAUACAGAUACAGAUACAGAUAUCAGAUACAGAUACAGAUUCAGAUUGAUACCAAGAGAACGAGUGUGAUAAAGUACACCCUCGUCUCAAACAAAUUAAACAGAUUGCAGAGCAGAAAUCAAGUUAAAUAGCAAUGGAGGGGAGUGGUACACUCACCGGCUCAACUUCAAAAGUUUUCACUUCAGAUUGGCCUUAAUCGCCAAGAAACCCUAAAAUAAUCAAAAUAAACCAAUUGAAGGUUUCAUAUCCAAAAUCGAGUAAACGGAAUGCACAAGUGAGGCUCGACUACACGUCGUACGCCUAGCCAAAUAAAUACUAAUGCAAGGGUGGAAAACAUGAUUUUCUUGGAAACGAAAAGGUAACAUGAAGACCUAGGCGCAAACAACCCAAAAGCCCUUCGCUCAAAUCACAAGUAAAUCCAACUAGCCUUCAAGUACAAUUUCGGCAGCAUAUCCCUUGUGUUUACCUAUUUUCCAGCCAUUAUGGCUUCAUUAUUUCCUCAAAUCAGUCCCAACAUCUCACACAAAAUUCAUCUCAUUUCCCAAAAGCCGUUCACUAGGCUCAAAGUAGUACAAGUACAAAAGUUAGCUAGGAAAUGACCGGAAUGAAAGCAAGCCCUAAAACAUGCAAGCAAGUACAAUGAGACUCGAUAACGAGUCAUAACCCAAUGCCAAAUAUGACCCCAAUAGGGUUCCAUAAGCAUACACAAACACUAGAGGAAACCAGAAAAUUUCGGAAAUGUAACUAGCUUUGGCCCUGAAAAAAAAAACAGUUUUUGUCCUCAUUUUGCGGUAAUGGCACCAAUUUCACUACGAUUAUCGGAUGAGGGUACAAGACCCACCAUUUCUAAGCUAAAAGACAGGGCUACAACAUCACAGAAGGUCACUCAAUCCAGUUUUGAGUGCAAACAGGUCAAAAAUGCAAGAUACUACAUCAAAAACGUAAAACAGAUUCACCAAAACGCAUUCUAGCGGAAACAUCAUAACUCAGGCUAUCCAAGUCCAAAUCCAGAAAUUCCAAAACCAGCUGAAAGCUAAGAAACAGGGAUAAAUUUCAUCAGAAGUCCUCAACAACCAAUUCGGAAUCAAUUCCAGCCAAAACAACCAAUUACAGGCGCAAUUCUUACAUUCAGGUCAAACCAGAACAGCAAUAGUAAUUUCGACUUAUCUCAUUCUACACUACUCCGAUUGACCUGAAAUUUUGUAGGCACCUCUAAAAUUCAUUCCCUACAACUUUCAUGUUUUAAGCCAAGGCCAAUUCGGCUUCUAACUAGGACCUAAAAAUUCGGGCAGAAUGCUUCCUCAAGAACCCUAGUUUUCUGAAAUUUCUUCCAAAACAGAAAUUAAUUGCAAUUGUCCACUUUUUCCACCUUCUAGCUUCAUUACAUAACAUUUCCAAUCAUCAUACAUGACCACACAAUCAUGCUUAUAUUAAAACAGAAAAUUCCCCAAAAAUAAUAAAACUUCAUCACUUCAACCACAAAUCAAGAAAUAAUCCAUAAUAUUGCAUCUCAUACCAUCACUAAUCAUGAUUUAGGCAUCAAUUAAGGGAGGAGAGGGGUUCAUCCACUACUCACCUUAGUAAAACAAGAGGGAGAGCAACUUGUCACCUUAGCUUCCCAAACAACUCCACCAAACAACUCACAAACACUAAGUGAAGAGGUUUUAUGGAGUAAAACUAAAAUUAAACGGUUAAAAGUGAAGAUUAAGCAAGGUUGGAGCAAAGAAAUUGGAGAGCUUUUCUUCCCUUAUUGCUUGAAGGUGGCCGGCCAUAUGAAGCUUAGAAAUGAAGAUAUUUUGGUCAAUUUUUGAAGUUAUUAUGGUAAAUGGUAAAAGGUUGAAUAGUAAGUCAAAACAAGAUUUAAUCAUAUGGUGACACAUGUCACCUUCAUUAAAUGUAUGCCUAACUUUUGUCUCUCUUAUACCAAUCCACUCAACCUCCUCUCAUUAAUUCUUAACACCCGAUAAAUUAAUUCCAGUAUCCAAAACUUAACCUAGUUGACCGAAAAUUUCCGAACUUUUCGCACUUGUGGGUCCCACGUCCGGUAUACACUCUUAAUUUCUCGAAACAUAUUCGAUACUAGAAAAAUCAUCUAAAAACUAUAUUUACUCAUAAAAAUUAUCUAGAAAAUUUUUCAGAUACAAAAAGUGCAGAAAACAAGCCAUUGAAGAUAAGAAAACCUAGAAAGGUAAUAAAACCUAGAAAAUGAAAAAGUUACGGGUUCUCACAUAGUGGACGGCAGGAUAUUCUCUAAAUCUCCCAUCAAAAUACAUAUGUAUGUCUACUUUUCCCUCUGAGUUAUCUUCUUAUAUUGAAUAGUUCAAGGUAUAUAACACACAUGUUUUAGUCCCCCACCUAAUAUGUCUUGGUCAUUGAUAAAACCAAAUAAACAGAAAAGCAAAAACACAUUCAAUUUUAAUAGCUAACCUUUUCUGUAUCACUAAAAUCACUAUCUCAUAUGACUGACAGAUAUAGAAAUUUAUAGGUGAUGCAUACAACUCUUUGUUAUAUAUCUAGUUGUGACAAUUAUUUGAGUCAUACUCAAAUACAAACAGAUCCUAUGGCAAAUGGAACUUUCAGAAAUUAUUUGCAUGAAUCCUAGUCAACAUAAAUAAUCACCGAUUAGUAGAGUCAUACGCAAACUCAAAAAAUCUUCCAAAAACUAGAAUAAAAUUAAGACAAUCUUUAAAUAUUGAAAAUCAAAUCAGCAAAAAAUCUCGACUGUAAACCCAAAGUAGCAGUCCCAAAACUAACAAAAUCAGAACUUUUCUAUGGUCAACACCCAUAAAUCGCACCUUGUUUAAGUAAAUAACAUCAUUAGCCUGAAGAAUUGGAAAUCAAAUAAACAAAAAUCUGAGAUGGGUAACCAACCCUAAACCCUAACUAACAUGAACGAUUAUAACAUACAUACCCAUUUGCCUUCGAUUUUAUGGAAGAAAUUUUCGUCUCGUUGUCUUUUCUUUCACUUUUCUUGCUUAAUUCAGAUCAAAAACUGCACAGAGCCAAUCGAUUUGGCUUCUCUCUCUCUCUCUCUCUCUCUCUCUCUCUCUCUUCGUAGGGUUUGAAAGAACGAAACAAAUGAUUCUAUUGAACUGUGUUUUACUUAGAUAUAUGAGGGCAAUUUUGUCAUUUCGUCAAUCCCCGUUAAGUUUAUCAGAUUCCACCAAUUUUAGAAUUUAGUUCAAAAUAUGAGGUGUCGUUUUGUACGUUUUGAAACCAUGGAAGGCUUUCCUGUGUAUUAGAUAUACUACAAGAGGCUUUUUUGUUUUUAACCCACCAGAAAAUUCAUUUUGAGGGAUAAUCUUAAAUGUAUCUAAAGUUAUAUGUAUAACAUAAAAUAUUUUAAGUUCUUGUAAGGACAAAACUUUAAAUUUAUAAAGAGCAUUCUGAGAAUUUCUAAUUUCACAAGUAAUGUAAACUAAAAUUUCUAAAACUCUUGGGAGGGGGAGGGGAAGGGGUGGGGUCUCCUCUCCUCCCCAUCCCCCGGUUUAGGCAGAAAGCUUUCCGUGUUAGUUUUUGAGAACAAGACCAAAAACAACUAGCAUUCAAUUCCUAGGAUUUUUUUUUUUUUUUGCGUUAAUUGAGAUGUUCAAUUGUGACUUGACCCGCCAUAUGUAAAUUUCAGGUAAAGUAAGUGGAGACAAAUUUGUGCCUUACACCCCAUUUUAUAGUAAGCAACCUUACUUAUUAUUAUUUUUUUUUGUCUUAGUACAUAACUUUUCACGGAACAUAAGACCUGCCAAACAAUGCACGAAUUUUGCACUUGUUUAUUUUUAUUAAUGGCAUGCCAUAUACUUCGUAUUGCACGUUGUUUAAAACUAUCUAUACAAGCAGCUGUUUCAAACUAUCUACACAAGCAAUUGUGUCGUCCCUCUAGAAAUCCAUAAAUUGCUAUAGGAGUGUGCCACACAUCAAUCACGUAAUCUAAGGUCUAGACUAGAGAAAAUCCAUGAUUGAGUGUCUCUACAAAAUGAAAAAGAAUUAUUGCUGUUUUUAAACCUGCUGUUUAAAUGUAUACUCUUCCACCAUAUUGUGUACUAAUAAUUGUGGGAACCUGCGAUCCGAUUCCCUACCCUUCAGUACUGAUUAAGGUGAUAAACAAAUUCAUUUAACUAAAUUUAUCCAUGACUGCCCAUGAAUCGAUGGAUAUGGGUAUUUUAAAUUUUUGUAUAUUGAUAUAAAUGGAUCUCCCCCAAACCUCCUCUCUUCCCCCACCCAUUUAGAAGAAAUUUGAGGCCUACAUUUGAUUAUUGAACUCAUUGUUGGAGACUUUCAUGCAUUAAUAUUAUUGAAACCUUGUAUAUAGUAGAAUGUUUUAUUUUUUUCCCUUAACAAACAUUUGAUGUAUUUUUGACGUAGAUAGAUAUCCUCCUUUUUCCAGAUUCUUUAUUUUGUCAUAAUGUUAACUACUUUUGUUUCAUUAUUAUUAUUAUUUGUUCAUUUUAUCUUAUCAUUUUAUUUUCUCGUAACUUGUUAACUUGCUCCUUUUUCAUCACUAUCAAUUUAUGAGAAGUUUUAGUCUCCUUUCCUAUCUUUCCAAAAUAAAUUUCAAAUUUACACACGAAAAAAUGCUAUGAGUUCAAAGUUUUUAUAUGAACUUUCAUGGUACUUAGCUCAAAUUUUUAUAUUCUUACUGUUCAAUUAUUAAAUAGUAUAUAAUUUGCGACAUAGAACACAGAUGGGAAAAAAUUAGUAAUUAGACUUAUUAAGCAUUAUAAGUAAAUAUUUGAAACUAAUGAUGAGUACAAUGGGUGGUAUAAAUUGAUAAUUUAGUUUGCAAAAAUAAAUUUAAAUGAAUUCACAAAAAGUUAAAAUAAAUGGGUUAUAAAUGGGUAUUUAGGUUAUUCAACUCAUUUUUUGACCUACACAUUUAUACCCAUCUAAUUAAAUGGAUAUAAAUAGAUUGACUCACCUAUAUUCAUUAUCCAUUUCAACCCACCCAAACUCGCCCUAACCACUUAUUUUGGCACCUCUAAUACUGAUUAACCUAGUUCACUUCUGGUCCUACACUUGACGACAAAGUCUUCGGUGGUAUUAAUAUUGGUUUAUUAUUUUUGGUUGCUACCUUCACGACAUCUGAUGAAUUAUGCAUCCGUGCAUGCUAAAUGACAGGAAAUAUCCAGCUCAAGACCAUUAAAGGUCCAAUAAUUUGAUGUUGCUGUUAGUGUUGGAGAAACGUGAUUAUCGUGUUAAUCAGCCUUUGUUUGAUCGUUGUAAUAAACAUGAAAUUAGCAAUUUAAUGGUAGAAGAUGCAGUGUCAAAUCAUAGGCCCGUUUUUGGUGGUUGCGGGCGAAAUUAUGUAUGAAAUGACACUUAUAGGAAUCUGUUUUAGUCUAUUCAACAACCAUACCAUUUUAAAAGGAUUAAUUUAACUUUGCAGCCUUUUAUAUUAGAAUUUUCACUUUAGUCCCUCAUCUUUAAAAUGUGGCACUUUAAUCCUCAAAAUAUAAAAUUUGUCCCAUUUAAAUAAAAUUAAUGGGCAAAUUUAGAUAAAUUUUAUACUUAAAUAGAACAAAUUUUAUACUUUAAGAACUAAAGUGAGAUAAAUUUUAAAUUUUAGUGGUUGAAGUGAAAUAAAUUUUAUGCCCUGUGCAUUAGAGUGUAUGAAAUUAUUAUUUUAAAAACUAAAAUGUCCCAUUUUAAAGUUUAAAUACCACAAUAAAAAUCGGAGCAUAUCACAAGGGUACAAAGUUGAAUUAACUCAUUUUAAAAUCCCAGUCCAACAAUUUAGCAGUAGGCUGGCUACUGAUUUCUUUGCUGUUAUACUAGUCCUGAUAAUAGUAUAUAGAGACAGUUGAUUAGUACUGAAUCCUGGGAAACAAAAAAGCAAAGAAGAAUUAGGAAUCAAGAAGUCGAGAGAUGGUGGAAGAGAAAAUAAAAAAAGAAGCAGAGGAAGAGGCUCAGGCUCAAGUGGAUAUAUGGAAAUACGUUUUCGGCUUUACUGAAAUGGCUGUCGUGAAAUGUGCAAUUGAGCUUGGGAUUCCAGACUUCCUGGAAGGCCAGGAUGGCCAAGCCAUGACACUUGAUGGGCUGUCUGCCGCCCUUGGUUGCUCGCCUUCUUCCCUUUACCGAAUCAUGAGGUUCUUAACCAACCGCGGCAUCUUUAGACAAGUUAAUCAAGGACUUGGCUGCUCCUCACAAAAUAGUACUAGCAAUGCUAUUGCUUGUAGCAGUAUUACCUAUGUACAGACGCCCCUCUCUCGUCUUCUGGCUAGAAAUGGAGAGAAAAGCAUGGCUGCUAUUGUGCUACUGGAAAGCAGCCCUGUGAUGCUUUCGCCGUGGCUUGGCUUGGGGCGACGUGUCUUGGCAAAUAGCCCUCCUCCAUUUGACACUUAUCACGGCCAGGACGUAUGGAGUUACGCGCAAAACAAUCCUGCUCACAGCAAGCUGAUCAACGAUGCCAUGGCUUGCGAUGCUCGGGUUGCAGUUUCGGCCAUGAUCAACGGGUGUCCGCAGGUGUUCGAGGGGAUUUCUUCGUUGGUGGAUGUCGGCGGAGGCGACGGAACGGCUCUCCGGACAUUGCUCAAGGCUUGCCCUUGGAUCCGCGGGAUCAAUUUUGAUCUUCCUCAUGUUGUCUCUGUUGCCCCUCGUUCUGAUGGCGUGGAGCAUGUUGGAGGCGACAUGUUUCACAGCGUUCCAAAUGCUGACGCUGCUUUUAUCAUGGUUAGUACUGUAAGGUAACUGUAAAAAACUAUCAAUUACAUGAAAGUAUUAACCAACAUCUAUUUAGACUGCUGGCCAUUACCAGAGACUUUAAGGGUGGGAAAUCAAGAGUUCAAAUUUUAACUUUCAUUAUUUGUCACAAUAUGUGAUUUUCUCAAACACGAGUAGAAGUAGGGUUGAUUCCCUGUAGGCUUAGUUGAACCUUACAAUACGAGUAGAAGUAGGAUUGAUAAGUGACGAAUAACCAAAAAAAAAAAGUGUUACCUAUUGUGGAUGCAGGCCUCACAAGUUAUCCAUUUUACUCCAUGUCAAGGUAAAUGGUCAUUUCAACUUUUAAUACACGCAAAAUUUUUACCUAGUUACAUCAUAUCUAAAUUUUUGUUACACUAUUUUUCAAUUCUGUUAUACUCAAGGGUAAACUAAUCAGAAAUGAAACUUAUAUGGCCCUGUCCACGGACUGCAAAGACUAUCAUAGCGUCAGAGGAUUAUGGUUUUGAAAAAGAAAGUGACAUUCACAUAGACUGGUCCCUCACACAUUUUGGUAGCAUUUAUUGAGUGAGUAGGCUGGAGUAUGAGAGGCAGAUGUAGGAGUACAAAUAUAACUAACCUUUUGAAAAUCACAUAUCCUUGAUAUAAAAAGACUAUAUGAAUGUCAAUAUAUAGAGGUGAAAAUUUAAGGAUAAUUGCUAUUUUCCUGCCUAUAGGUAUGUCAUAGAAAUAUGAUGCAAUGUCCAAGUGCCAGGCUAAUUUGCAAAUAUUGAUCUUAUAAAUUUAGUUAAAUACUGAGCGACUUGAGACUUGAGAGUGCAUGCAUCAAGUUAACAAUCUGGCAAUUUGGAAAAUAUAUUGACUUUAGUGUGUCUAAUUAAGCUAUCUAGAUAAUUGGCUACCGAGCUUACCAUAAUUCUACUAACUCCUUAAUUUAUGCCAGUUAAUUGUAGCACUGUGCAGCUACCUGCGUGUGUAUUGUUCAGCAAGAAUCAAGUUAAAAAAUUCAUGCUCAAUUGCAAUUCUUCUUUUUCUUCUUCCUCUUUCUAUUUUUUUUAAUCCAGUUAAUUUAUUUGCAAGUAUAUGCAUGCUUUGUUCAUUAUAGCUUAUUUUUGGGUAUGCACCACCUUUGACUUUAUUGUUUUGGAUAUAUAUAGUGGGUGUUGCAUGACUGGGGAGAUGACGAAUGUAUCAGCAUAUUGAUGAACUGCAAAGAAGCUAUUCCUCAAGACACGGGGAAAGUGAUCAUCGUAGAGGCUGUGAUAGAUCAUGAAGGAGGAGACGGCAAGCUUAAAGACGUGGGUUUGAUGUUAGAUAUGGUGAUGAUGGCUCAUACAACCACAGGAAAAGAAAGAACGUCAGAGGAAUGGGCACAUAUUCUGAACAAGGCUGGAUUCAGCAGACACACUAUGACACACAUCCAAGCUGUUCAAUCUGUAAUUGAGGCCUAUCCUUAACUUUGGAUAGACUUGGAUUUGAUUGCAUAUUCUAUGCCCUACUUUGAUUUCUUUGUUGUCCUCACGCUUGCUACUUGCUUGUGUGUGACAUAAUAAGGGACAUUUGGCCCCCCUACUAGGAGUUUGUGUUUUAAUGAGAUAGUGAAUCAUUUGGACCUUCUCGUUCACAACAUAUAAAUGACGGGUAAAUUAGACUAAUCUUACUCGCAACGGAUCUUUUGUCCUAUUUACUAUACUACUCUUUGUCCUACUUUUUAUUAUAUUGCUAUUUUUCUUCGCAAAUAUUAUAUUUUAGUUCAUUUUUGUUUCUUUGAAAUUCAAUAACUAUUAACUGAGUAAUACACAAAAUUUAAGAAGCUCAAAAAUCAAAAUGCGUAAAAAAUGAGAUUUUUUAUGAAUUUUUAGCUGUAUUUUUAAAUUUUUUUAUUAUAUAUUUCUUUUUUGAAACUGUUGUAUUUAUUUUUUAUUCAGUUAAUAGUUAUUGGAUCUUAAAAAAAUAAAAAAGAACUAAAAUAUAAUGUUGAUAAAGAGGAAAUAGUAAUAUAAUAAAAAGUGAUAUAGAGAGUGGUAUAGGAAGUGGGACAGAAGAUUCACUGCGAUUCUCACCUUUUAUUUGUUAUUGCCAAAACAAAGCGCAACGGAUCUUCUGUCCCACACCCUGUGCCACUCUCUGUGCCACUUUUUAUUAUAUUACUAUUUCUCCUAUAUAAACAUCACAUUUUAGUUCUUUUUUGUUUCCUUAAGAUCCAAUAACUAUUAAUUGAGUAAUACACAAUAUUUAACAAACUCAAAAAACCAAAAUGCAUAAAAAAUGAGAUUUUUUAUGAAUUUUCUGCUGUAUUUUUUAAUUUUCUAUUAUAUAUUGCUUUUUGAAGCUACUUUAUUUAUAUUUUACUCAAUUAAUAGUUAUUGGAUCUUAAAGAAAUAAAAAAAAACUAAAAUGUGAUGUUUAUAUAGGAGAAAUAGCAAUAUAAUAAAAAGUGGCACAGAGAGUGGCACAGGGUGUGGGACAGAAGAUCUGUUGCGAAAACAAAGUCAGAUAAUGAGCAUUUCAAUUUGUAAAGAUGGACCAUUUUCAUAUGAAAAGUUCAUGUGUUCAAAUCCUAUUGUCAAUGUAAGAAAUUUGUUGAUGAGUAAUAUGUAAAUACCCCUAUAAAUAACCCAUGGUCUCUUAAACACUUUUUAGAAGUUAUACGAGAUUGAGGAUCUUUUUUUUUGCCAUAAAUAGCAUACUCUAAUUAGGACUCCCCUAGUCAUAUUACAUAUUUUGCCUAUUCCAACAUUUUUUUUAGAAAGUUAUUUCUUGUCGCUUUUAAUUUCUCCCUAUUCCUAACUUUUAGUUUCAACACAUUUUUCCAAAGUUAGUUCUUUAUCAUUUAGAAAGUGGCCUCUGUGAAGGAUAAGGACCUUUUUACUUAAAUUUCGUGCUUUGUUCUCAAACAGUAUCUUUUGGAAAGUUGUCUCUUUUUUCUCCCCUUUAAUUUUUCUUUGUACAAGUUUCAUAUAACGAAUAUGCUUUUAGUUUCAACACAUUUUUUUCCAAGUUAUUUCUUGUUACCUUUAAUUUCUUUCUACACAAGUCUUUUACACAAUUAAACCAAAAUUUGAAUUUCCUUGUAAAUGAUAAAUAUAACUUAAAAGAAUUUUUCUAACUGGCGUCUAAUGAUCAUUCGUUAACACAUUUAGCUUACAUUUAUUUAUUAUAUGAAUACAUAUAUUUUUCGAAGUUCAUUAAACUUUUUAAAAAGAACUAAUACCUGAAACCUCUUUUAAUGGCCAUCAACCAAACCAAACAUAAAAUAGAAUAAGCAGACACAUGGAAAUAGAAGGAAAUUUAACCACUAUAAUAGUUUUACAAAUUGAAAUAGUGUUACUAAAAAACCCAAAAAAAGCAAUAAUUUUUUAUGUGUUUUCUAGCAUCUAUCUUUUUCCUAACUCCAUUGUUGUGUUUCCAAGUAUUUGAAGUUUUCCAUACUUCAAUUGCAAUUUUUUUAUUCCUGCUUAAAAAUUUUUUGUUUUAUCAUUAAAAAUAUAGGAUUGAUGGUUUAUAGUCUUCUUAAUUUUUAGGUUUGAGUUGAUCAUGCAGCAUUGGCUACUGUGAUUUUUAUUAUCAUAUGUUAGAUCUUUGUCCCCAUGAAUUAAAAUUCGGAUUCCGUCACUACCAAGAGCAUAUCCUGUAAUGGUGAUGGUGAUCGAAGUUGAGACUCUCCAAAUUUUAAUUUUUGAUAGUGUUACAUAUAAUGCUCAAUCUAAAACUAACUUCAAAUUUGAAAAUUUACACACUUUACAAGAUGAAUGCAACUACAAAGUCUGACAACAUAAUACAUAAGGAAAAUUACUGGAAAGUACUAAUACUGUAUAGAUAUUUAGGGGUGAGCAAAAAACCCAUCAACUCGAAAACCCGAGUCAUCCGAUCUGAUCCGCACCAAAAUUUAGGAUAUCUGAUCCGAUUUUUAUCAGUGGAGCAGAUGAGGGUUGGGUACCCGUAAUAUUUGGAUACAGAUACGGAUCAUAAAAAUAAAAACCCGUCGGUACCCUACUCGAGGUAUAUUGUAUAAAUUUUAAAAAAUAUAGGGACAAUUUUACAAUUUUCUCAAGUUAUUAACCCUAGAGCCUAAAUGAGUCCAUCGAUUUCAUUUCACUUUCCAAAACUUUCUCCUUGUACUCUUCAGCCAUGAGCCGACAACCGACACAUCCUCUCCUAGUCUCCUUCUCUUCAAUUUUUGUUUCACCUCAACUUGAGCUCAAAAAAGCUGCAAAAGAUUCUCAAAACUCAAGCAGGUAAAUGGGAUGAAUCUUCCAAGAAAUUUGUUUUGAACAGAGACCUUAACCUGCAGAAGAUUCAACAAUGACCUUCGAUUCCUCAAGCCUCAAGCAGAAGCCUUAUUGAUGUUGGUUGAAAUCCAGCUCUCUUUUCCUCCUCGUUUUGAGAGUUUGUCCAUGGAGUUCAUAAGAAAACUUGCUGCAAGAUUUGCGGCAAAUAUCCCAAGUAAGCAAAGAGUGGAAGAUAUACUUGACAUGCUUCUUGGAAACUUAGAAUAAUAGAACUUAGUUUGUGCAGUUGCACUUGCAGCUGCAGCAGCGCCAAUCAGGAAAAAUUGGGGAAGAAGCCAAAGUACUGACAUGUCCACCACUGCAUUUGAAGCAUCUGAAUAUCCUUCCCUGAUAGCCAGACUACGUCGUUUAGCUCACUGUUGCUGCCACUAUCAUGCCUAGAAAAGACAGGGCCAUUCCAAUUCCCAUUCUUUCCCUUUUCAGGAAAUGAACAGGCCUCCCCAAAAUUCUUGCUGCAACAGGCAGGAUUAUCUGAAGAUAAAUAGGUAUCCAUAGUACUGCACCGACAACGGCAAACAUACUACAAGAUAUCUCAUUGUUUUUAUGAUUGGGUUGUUUAAUGCCAGUUUUGAUGGCUUACCCUUCGAGCUCUAGAAAAAUUCUGAAACUGAAUUUCCUUUUCUCUUAAGUCAUGACUAGUAUUGAAGUAGGAUAUGUAAUCCUGCUUUGUAACAAUUGCGAAGGGCGAUGCAUUUGAUGCCCAAAGAAUUUCUUAAACCUAGGACGUCUUUGGAUUCAAUGCAAUGUUUCUUAGUAAGCUGUCAUUUUUUUCAUUGGUAUUAGGAGCGGGUAUCCUAUGACCCCCUUUUUUUCAGGUACACGAGGAUCAAGUACUUGAGAACAAGCAAAGCGGUUUAGGGCCAAAAAAAUAGUGAUCCAAUAUAUUAGGAUCAAGUCAACCAUUUGCUGUUCGAAGUGGGUAUCCGACCCGUACCCACCCCUAUAGAUAUUGAGUUGAAUGGAGGUCAGGGAAGCCCAAUUACUAGAAGAUUACUCUGAUGUAGGCCAACUAUACUUUCAUUUAGGGCAAUGUUAUUGCCAGAGUUAAUCAUGGAUCCAUUUGAAUGGUGUGUGUCUAAAACUUUAUACCGUAGUUUAUUAUAGAAUUUUUAAAAAAUAAUGUUUGUAUAUUUAGAUGUAUUUGGCAGAUAUUUGUAAAAUUCCAACACAUUUCACGUGCCACCCAUAACGCUACUCAUCUUGGAUAUGACACUUACAAUUAACCACCACUACCCUUCUCGCCUGUUACCGCCUCUCUCCCACACCCCCGCCCUCGGCCACCCCUCCUCCUCCUCUUUCUUUUGCCUGCCACCCACUUCCACUUCCCCUUCCCCUGCCCCUUCUCUCUCCUAUUGCCACUACCACCACCCCCUUUCUUCUCCUAUUUUUUCCCCUCCCUCUCCUUCUCUCUCUUUCCCCUUCUCCUCCUCCCUCCCCUACAUGCCACCUACGCCAUUUCUUCCCUACCACCACCUACCACCCCCUCCCUGUCUCUUCCCCUUCUCUUCUUUCUCUCUCCCAUUUAUUUUCCUUUCCUUUCCUUUCCUUUCUCCCCUUCCCUCCACCCUCCUCUCAUGAUUUGAUCUUGGAUGGGAAGAGGGGGAAGAUGUAGUGGGAAUGGGCAAAGGAAAAGAGGAUGAGGGAGAGAUUAGAAUAGGAAAAAGGAAGAGAGUGGGAGAGAGUAGCAAGUGGUGGUGGGGAAGGGGGUAGUGAUGAGGAGGAGGAGGAGGAGGAGGAGGAAAAGAGAGAGUGGUGACAAUAGUGGUGGGAUUAAUUGGGGAUCGCGCUAGCAAGAAUGGAAAUGGUUAAGGAUGGUGGUGGUAGAAAAAAAAAAAAAGAAAUGAGCGUAUUUUAGGAUGUAUAUAUUUUUAUAAAACUUAGACUUCCUAUGAAAUGGGUAUUUUUAGGAGUGUUUUUUUUUUAAAACAAAAAUUUUAUUAUAGUGAUAUAUUUUAAAAACUUCCUAAUAUAUAUAUCUAUUAUCAUUAGUAGUGGAUAAUGUUGAAUGAAGAUAAAUAUCAACAUAAGGAUGGCUUGGCAAUUCAAUGGAAUAUUUCAAAAAUUUUGCUGCUUCAAAUGGGCCCACAAUCUCUCUCUCUUCUUCUUACUGCUUUGAAUUUUGAAUUUUGAACACUAAACAUCCGCCGCCCAUGGCGGCUCUUCAGUCACCUGGAGAUCAGUCGCUGACUGAACAACCACCUGCACCAGGAAAACGAUCUUUUGCUCCUGUGCUUUAGGUCUUUCUUCAUCAUCUGAUGCUGCUGGUGUCGGGUGCAUUGCAAUGUACAGAGGUGAACCAUCUUUACAACUUUCUCGUUAGGAUGUGCUUGCAAUUUCACAGCCUUUCAAACUCUUUAGUGGGAAGAUUUGCGGCUGGAAGGCCAUCGAUGGUGAUAAUCCGAAACUUCAUUACCUCAGUAGGCCUUAAAGGUGAUUGCCCUGUAGACUUGUUAGAUCAGAAACAUAUUCUUCUUCAGCCAGUCUUGGCUGAAGAUUUUACUAGACUGUGGUGCCUCGAUCUUGGUGCAUCGACAAUAUGCCCAUGGUUUUAUCAAAAUGGACAAUUGAUUUCCGACUAGACCAAGACUCUUCGCUAGUGCCAGUAUGGAUUAAUUUGCCCGGUUUGCUUUUGCCUUUCUUCUCUCCUAAAUACUUGCACAAAUUGGGGAGUCUCUUUGGUAGGCUGCUCAAAAUUGACGAUGUAACUUUGUCCCUCAAAUGCCCAUCUGUUACUCGCAUUCUAGUGGAAAUUGAUAUUAAGAUGGAGCAAAAGACAAAGAAUUUGGAUUGGUGAUGAUAAUUGGGGCUCGUGGCAAGCCGUUGAAUUUGAAAAUAUGCCAGUUUUUCGUCAUUUCUGUUGUCGUAUUGGCCAUAAUGAGCCUUCUUGUCAUAAAAACUUUCCACAGAUGAGGGUUCCAAAGCCUCAAAAAAAGGUUUCUGAACGGCGACAUGGAAUCCAGAAAAUUUAUAUUCCAAAGGUUGAUCAGGCGAAGGAUGCCAAAUUAGAUCAACAAGAUGAUGUCCCUUUGUUAAACCCCAGUGGCUGCUUGGAGACGGAUGAGUUUUUGAUGUUAAAGGGCAAAUCUCCUAUUGUAAAUUCGGCCUCUCGCUCGGAUCCUUUGUUACUGGAGGAUGUUAUGCCUAAACAAGUUUCUAUGUAUGACAAGAAUGUUGGUUUAGAUUUGGUGGACCAAUUUAAAAUGGUUGACCGUGAAGACAUCCAUGUGUCCCUAUAUCAUGAUUAACAUCAGUCUGUCUUUGGAUCAUAUUCCAUCCCACAAUAAUUUGUCUUAUCGAGUAAAUGAUGAUCAUUGCAUUGACAGUCGGUCCAAGCCUUCUAUGAAUUUUGCAGGAGAUUUGUUUUCAGAUUCAGAUGAGAUGCCAAAUCAAGCUUCAGUUUCACCCUCCUUGCUAGAGGUUUUUAAAGCUUUCCAAGAUGAAAUAUCCGGUAGAAUUCCCCCAGUUAAGGAUGAUCAGCCUCUUUGCUCCACAGCUAAAAAACCUUGGCAAAGGAGGUAUUUAAAUUUGCCAAGAACGGUCCUUACUCAUCAAGCCUCUAAGGCUCCUCAAGAACUUACCUUUUUCUUGUCUUAAUGAUUAGUAGUCUUAUAUGGAAUUUAGAGGAAUUGCUGAUCACUCUUCUUUGCAGCGUCUUAGAAAAUUGCUUUCUAUCCAUAGUGUUUCUUUGCUGGUAGUUUUAGAGCCUAUGAUUGAUACUUCUAGUUUUCUAGAAUUUCAACAGAAGUUGGUGGUGAAUUUGGUUUGUUUAAUAUAUCAAAUAAAAUUUGGACUUUUUGGAAGCUGGGUUUCCAUGCUUCCUCAAUCGGUAAUAAUGAGCAGUUCAUACGCCUUGCAAUAUCCCAUGAUUCUUGGAGUGAAGCUGCAUUUGCCUACCUUAGUUCAUGCGAAGUGUACGCCAGUUGAACGGCAUUGCCUAUGUUUGUCUCAUAUUGCUUCAUUGAUUGGUGAUCGCCCAAGGGUAGUUGGAGGGGACUUUAACAUUAUAUCCUCUUUGGAGGAAUACUCUGGCCGUGCACCUCAGGAUUUGCAAGCAAUAGCGAAUUUUAACAAUUCUAUACUGACUGCUUCAUACAAAUUUCGGCUGUGGGUGGUAAAUAUACAUGGACUGGAGUUAGGCUUGAUGUGUGCAUUUGGAAGCGUUUGGAUAGAGUGCUAUGUAAUAGUAGCAGGCAGCGUUGGUUUUCUCAAUCAUCAAUUCAUCAUUUGAACAGAUGUUUUUCAGAUCACUCGUCAAAGCAUUUGGACUUUUUCAUUCUAUUACCUACAUCUCUGGUAUCACAAAGAAGAAUUCCCUUUUGUCGACUUGGGAUGUAAUCUUAACAAGGGCAGGCGGAAAGUGAUUAUUUUAACUGCAUUGUCGAUAAGUUCAACAAGAAGCUUGCUGGGUGGAAAACUAAGCUGCUCUCCCCUGGAUGUCGAUUGAUUCUUAUCAAACGUGUUGUUUGCAAUUCUAAUUCAUACCCUUGCAGUAAGGGAGCCUCCUAAGGCAAUCAUUCGCUAGCUUGAGAAGAUUAUGGCUGAUUUCUUCUGGUGGGGGGGGGGGGAGUUUGAAGGCUCUACUAGACGUCACUGGAUGUCUGGGCAAAAAGUCUCAUGUCCAGUAGACGAAAAUGGUCUAGGCAUUCGAAGUAUUUCAGAUAUAACGCAACCUUUAGUUGUAAACUCUGGUGGAAUUUUAGAACGUCUUUGCAACUUUGGGUUAGAUAUUUUGCUUCAAGAUAUGGUUCACAUGUCCCUCAUCCAUGUUGCAUACAGUUGAAACAAAGCGAUUCUUUGGUAUGGAAGAGAAUGCUGGGGGCUCAUCAAAUGGUGGAGGAUAAAAUGCAAUUGCUGAUUCUUCAAGGUAAUGGAUCUUCUUGGUAUGAAGAUUGGGCUGGUAUGGGCUGUCUUGCUAAGGACAAAUUGCAUAUUCCAGGAAAGCAUCUUCAGUUGAGGGAUUUGUUCAAGAAUGGUACCUGGCUUUUAACAGAUAUGGCAGGUUCUUUGUCAUUGCAAGAACAAAACAAAGUUUUGAGCUCCAAAUUUUUGCUUACUGCUGGCUGUGAUAAGCUAGCUUGGAAACCAAUGCCUAUUGGUGAUUUUUCUCUUUUGUCAGCCUACAAUAUUGUCAGGAAAAAGCAUGCUGUUUUGGUGUCGCGAAAAAUGAUUUGGAGCUUGCGCAUGCCUAGUAAAGUCUCUAUAUUCAUGUGGCGAUUACUUAAUUCUGCACUUCCAUUCUCUGAUGUUUUAGUGUCUCAGGGUUUCAAUUUACCAUCAAAAUGUCCAUUUUGUGAACAUGAGGAUGAACUCUCUCAUUAUUUUUCUUAGUGUUCCAUUGCUGUAGCUAUUUGGUAGCAUUUUAAAGAAUUAUUAUCCAUUCCUCUUUCAACAAAUCCGGACAUCUUUGGUAAACUUCAGCUUUGGUGGAGUCAUACGUCAUCCUCAGCCAUGGGGGAGAUAAUGCAAAUGAUUCCAUCCUUUAUUUGCUGGGAGUUGUGGAAAGCAGGGAACAAAAGGAUCUUUGAAGGAGUCCUGGUGUCAGUCAGCCAAGUAGUCUUUUUCUUUUAGGCUUUGAUUUUGUCUGAAGCAGCAGUUCAUCCUUUUAUUGCUAUGACAAAGGAGGACAAUCUACUUGUUGCUCGCGGGAUUAUAUCUUCUAGUCAGUACCCAAAAAGAUUGCAAGGAUUGGCAAUUUGUUAGGAGCUUUCGCCGCCAGUGUUUGUUAAGCUUAACGUAGACAGAUCUUCACUGGGCAAUCCUGAGCCUUCGGGUGGUGGUGGUAUAAUUUGCAACCAUUUUGGUGAGGCUUUACAUGCAUUUUCGUCCUUAUAUGGUCACUGUACAAAUAUGGAAGCGGAAGCUAAGGCCCUACUGGAUGGAAUUAAGCUUUGUGUGACCUUGAGCCGAGUUCUUGUAGAGUUGGAUUCACAAAGCUCUGCUUUAGGCACUUUCUCAUGCAAUGCCUCAGUGGAGAAUUGAUUGACAAAUUGCAGAGAUUAAAUCCAUUACAUAGGCUGGUGAGUUCCAAUUUUUGCACAUCUUUCGCCAAGCAAACUCAGUUGCAGAUGCUCUUUCUUGAUUGGCUAGUUCGACCCAAACCUCUUGCAUUUUUCAGGGAUCAAGGCUUCCAGCGCAAAAUCAUUGCUUAGUCUCUUUAGAAAAACAAUGUGUGCCAUGUGUUAGACUAGAUAAACAAUAGCAUUUUUAUUCUGUUCCAUCAAUGUAAGGGAGUAGUACUCCUUAUUUAUUGCUUUAACUCGUAAUGGAGGUUAGGUCUAUGUUCCCCUCCAUGUUUUAAAUCUUGUUUUUGAAUAAAAUAAUGAUUGACAUCCUUUUCCCAUGUACGGGGUUUGCAUUGAAAAAAAAUUUCGAAAUAUAGAUCAUUUGUUUAGGUGUUUUUGAGGAUGCAUUUUUGAAUAUUUUUAAAAUUUAAAAUUUUAGUGGGAGUGUGAAUGAAAGAAGAGAGAGGCGGUAGUUUUUUUUGAGGUAUAUUUGAAGUUGCAUGUAUUUAGAGUGUUUUUAGGGUGUUUUUAGAGUGUGCUACUGUACACUCUAAAAACAAAAAUAAAUUUGCUCAAAACUUCACGAUUGAAGCAGAGUCUAAGGUGUUUUAACAAGCUCCCAUUGUUAAAGUUAGAAAAGACUUUUGUCUCAGAAAAACCAGGGGUGCCAAACGAAUCCCAUAUAAUGCCAAACCAAUUUUUCUGCUAUUCACAAAAUUACCCUCAAAAUGUCAGCACAGUUAAAUUUGCUUGUUUCCUUUCUCUCACCUCUUCGCACCAUAGUCUCCCAUUGUCUUUUCCUCAGUUUCUUAUCUAAAAUCAUCAACCAAAAUUUUCACCAAAAUCCUCACUUUAUUCACCCAAAGUAUUCACCAAAUAUGGGGAACCCAAUAGGCAACAUGCAGGGAUACAAGAAUUGUUUAGGUGCAGACGGAUGGCCUUUUUCAUCAAAACUAGUGAAGUUUAACACGGGAAUAUAAUGAAUUUACGCCCCGAAGUGGAUGAUUUGCAUGUGGUGGCUGGUACAUGAUAUCGUGGACUUUUGGUGUUUGCUUUUUUUUUUUUUGGUUUACUAUCCGAUCUUCCUGUGGAGUGUGUGCUGGUUUUUUUUUCUUUUUCCUCAAUUUAAGAAUUUGGCUGUCCAAACUUUAUACUUGUGAAUGAAGGAUGAAUUUGUAAAGGUAAACCCAUGCAACAAAAUUUUUUGCACUCCAGUCUUUGGCAUUGCCAUGCAAGCUUGGUACAAUGUGGUGAUUCCUCCUUGUCUUAUCUUAAGUUUUAAGAAUUAGAAAGGAAAAAAAAAACUUUUUAAUACUAUUCAGAGGAAGUGAAGGAGGUUGCAAUGCAUGUGGUGAAGGAGAGUGAUCUACGAGCAGAGCAGAUCGGGGAAUUAAAUCUGUGGUGUGAUCCGUGUUAUCCUGGGUCGAUAAUGAUGAGAACAAAAAUUAACAAUAACAUGGCCAUUGUUUGAAACAUUUCAUAAUUUAUAGAUUGUCAUUUUAAUGAAUCAUAAGUUCUAACAUCACGAGACGAAAAGAUGAAUCGAAGAAGGAAAUCAUUUGAAAAAUAUCAUUGGAUUUCUGUAAUCCUUAGAUACAGUUCAAAGAAUUCUACAAUUUGCAAAGAAUUGUAAAUCAACUGUUGAGAGUAUUUAUUGACUCCAAAAGAGUUACUGAAUUACAUAACUUGCUGAAAAUUUGCCAAAAUAUUGUUCUUAUUGUUACUGUCAAAGGCAUGGGAAAGAGUCUAUUAUGUUAAGAAUCCGGAACUUCGUCCAGAACAAAUGACACGGUUCGACCCUAUCUUGGAGUAUCGGACUAAGAAGAAUGUUUCUAAUGUUAGUGUUUCGAUGGAGGUUCACAGGGAAGUUCAGGUUUCAGAACUUGAUAGGGUAUUUUUAUUACACUACAAAUUUUAAAACCUUUUAUCCUAUUUUCGCAAGUGCACGGUUCAUUCAUUGACUAUAAGGAUAAUAAGUAUCGAUCCCACAUGGAUUUAAAAUGUGACAAUCACUUGACUUUAAUUACUUGCUUUAUUAUCUAGACAAUCAAAGUUAAGAAAGUAAAAGUAAAGAAAGUUAACAAGUUGGUAAAACCGGCCAUGUAAGAUGUUAGUUUAGGCAGUACAACCAACCAUAUGAUAUAAGUAAUGAAUAUAAAACUGCCCAUUAGGUCAUAAAUCAACCAUGUAGGCAGUAUGUUGCAAGAAAAUAAAUAGAUGUACAUAUAGUGGGAAUAUGGGAUACAUAUAAGGGAAAUGUUGUGCAAAAUGAAAAAAACCCUAAAAGUAGAAAAUAUGCAUGAAAUGUAGGGAUUUUGUCACACAAAUAUGAUCUAACGCGAGAACGGUCCCUAAGGGUCUAGCACUGGACUAACCCAUGUUUAUAAGUUCUCACUAGUAUUGGACUAGUGAGAAAUCGGAAAGGAGGGCCACAACUAGCGUUGGACUAGUGUGGAAUCGGAAAAAAGGUCCACAAUUAGCGUUGGACUAGUGUGGUGACGUCAUGCAUUUAUUAUAAUCAAACAAAUCAGAUAAAGUAUAAUAAAAGCAGAUAAACACAUUGUGAGAACCCAGAAAAAAAUUAUUUUAGGCAUUAUUUUUAUUCCUGUGCACCCGUUUUUUUUAUAUUUUAUUUUUUAUAUUAACUUUAUCGAUAUUUUACCAGUAAAUAUAGUUUUUAAAUCAUUUUUCUAAUAUAAAUUAGUUCAUGAGAAAUUAGGAGUGUAUAUUGGACAUGGGACCCGCUAGUGCAUUAAGUCAGAGAAAUUCGGACAAUUAGGUUAAAUUUUGCAUAAAGGGAUUUAAUUACUGGGUGUUAGGAGAUAAUUAGAGGUGACCUAGAUGGAUUAACUGUGACGACCCCACCUCCCCCUAAGGCGAACUAAAGGGUUGGCGGGCAGUCUGCCCAGCUCUCGCCAGGACUCACGCAAACAUUCUAGCCCAAAUCCUUCCGAAGAAUAACCUGAUCUAUUACAAAACAAUUUUCUCGAAGAAGACCGUCUCAAAAGCCACAUUAACUUCAGAGAUAACAGUGAUUUAAAAAUAGCCAAUCGAGGCUCUUACACGUCCCACGUACUACAUGCCAAGGUAUAAGGUCGUACCAAACCGGAUAGAUAAUUACAUACAUCACUAAUACAACUUACAAGCCAAACACUCAAAUUAGGGUUUACACAUUUUCCAGCUUCAAGUGGCAAUCCAAAAUGAAAGUACAUAAUUCCAAUUAACGUUAUUACAGCCCCACAAAAUAAGUCAUAGUAUUCAAAUUCAUUCCAAAAGGGAAACAUGGGUAAGAUGCAAAGCUUUCAAUUCCAGAACCUGUUAAGGAAAACAACUAAACGUGGAUGAGCUAAAGCUCAGUGGUGCCCAGAGCAUGCAAUCACAUAAGGCAAAUAACGAGUAUGAAUUCAAUAAGUAAGAAAGCAUUAUAACAGCACAAAGUAGGAUACAGGGGCUCUCAGGAGCCAAAAUUCCUCGUUUGAUCUGAAACCACCGUAGUUGACCCUCUGUCAACUCUCACUACUUAUGAUCUGUGUAGAGUAUCUCAUUUUGUCUCCUAACCCGUCACCAUUCAUACCCCUAUCCCGGGCCCGCACAUCAACUAAGGGAGCAGUAUACUCGAGAUAUACCCUCAGGAAAUUAGGAGCAGUAUACUUGCGUAUACCCUCAGGAAUUAGCAGUAUACUGUAUACCGUCAGGCCUUCUUGCGUACCAGGAAUUUUGGUCGAGGGAUUCACCCAGCGACGUCACAACACAUGGAUUCACUAAAACAUUUCACGCAAAUCACCACUCGAACGGCUAGUGUGAUAAAGUACACACUGCUCGCUUCGAUGGAUCAGAAACCAUUUUUGCAAUUACCACAUAUCAAGUCAAGGAAGCACUUUAUUCAAGUAGGCAUAGAACAAGCAGGGACACUCACCAGGAGUGUAGUUCAGAUGUCAAAUUGGGAAUCGAAUUCCGCGUCCUCGCAAUAUCCUAAAAACCAAAUUUGAAACUAUAAGUUCUCUAUUCAAUUUUUAAGCUUAUUCGUAUAGAGGAUUAUCUAAUAAUAUAUUACUAGUUUACUUCCUCAAAGUAAUUUCAAAAAUCUACUUAGGCUGAGACUUGACAAAAGUAGAGAAAAUGUUUCUUAUAGUUUUCCUUGAGAUAUUUUUCCUUAUGAAGGGUAACUAGUAUUAUUUUCUUGAAAUAAGUCGACAAUCCACUAAGGAUUAAAACUGGUAAAAGUAAUAAAAUAUUCGUAUAGUUUCCUUAUAUUACUUUUCUUUCUAAAGAUGUAGCUAGAGCUGUUUACUUGAAUAAGUUUGCUUACCGAACAAGUCUUCUAUGCCUUUUGCUUAAAACUAUUGAAAUCUCGCGUUUUUAACGAGUUUCUCAAAACAACUAGUCAGGGGCAGCUUUUAAGGAAUGAAAAGAAAAGUAAGCUAGUACCUAGGAUUUUAAAACAAAUGAAAUCAUUUUCUAAGAAAAGUACUAAAGCUAAUAUAAGCUUAAGAAGGAAUCGUCGAGUCGGCAGCGUUUAGAAAAUCCUUACGCAAGAGUUUCUACUUAAAAGUACGAUACUAAGUUUUAUCGUUUAAUGCCAAGCACAAGCUAUGUUUAAGUAAUUCCCCUGAAACAUUCUCGAAUUCACAGGGUCGAAAUGAAUUUCACAAUUUCGAUUCCACUUCGAAAUCACAUUGUAACUCAGGUUUGCCAACACAUCAAAAUCAUAUUUCAAUUGCAAGUCACUAGGGCUUCGUCAAUCAUUAGCCCUAGGUUUCAAUAGAUUCAUUUCUGAUCAAGAAUAAAAUAAAUGACCAAGGCUUCAUCAAUCAUUAGCACUUGGUUUUGGCAAGCUCAUAUUACGUCUCAACUAAAUCAAAAUGAAUGUAAGGCCUCCAAGCAAUUCCAGAAAUUAACUUUCAUCACCCUUUAAUACUUGUAUAAAAUCAUUCAAAUGGCCAAGGGCUUCAUCAAUCAUUAGCCCUUAGCAUCCAACAAUUAGUUCCUAUAGCAAUAAGGCUAACAUUUCAAAUGUUUAAAUUUACUAACAGGUAUUUAAAACCAAGGACCAAAUUUGCAACAACCUCAUACUCAAGUAUUUGAUCCAAAGCCAAGAAAUUCCAUCCAUAAUAUCACAUUGUCACCCCAAAAUUCAAAUGCAUGACCAUCUCAAGGUAUUACAAAACGAAUUCAACAAUAAUAUAAUUUUUCACAGCCCCAAAAUCUAUAAAGAAAUUUAUAUGUAAUUCUUUAUCAAACGCGACUAAGGCUGGAAAAUUUUCCAGCUUAUAUCCACAGCUACACUUCACUAAUUCCAAUUCAAUCUCCCAAGAUAUCAAGAGUUUCACAUCCAUAUAUCUUAUAAAACUUUAAAACAACUUAUUCCAGGCAUUUCCAAUCAUUAUGCUUCAAAGAAUAAUUUCACAACCAAACUGAAAUUCCAACUCAACCUUUGGCUACCACAAGAAAAAUUUCCAGCAUUUAUAUUCCAACAUUUUUGGUUCAAUCUUUCAAUGUAUCGAAUUUUUCAUCGCAUUCCAAGGGAAAUAAGAUAAAAUCCGGAAACCAAUCAUAAUUUCCAAAAACAAGCCUCUCGGCUAUCAAGAUUUUCCAGCACUUAGAGGUUUAUAAGUCCAACUUUUCCUUGGCUAAAGCAUGGUUUUAGAUUCUCAAAUUCAUCAUGUGAACCUUUGGCUAACUAAUUAACAUUUCUGGUUCAAAAUCGAAUUCGAAUAACAGGUUCAAACAUCCCAAAAAUUCCAGAAAUCUGUCCAGCAAGCUACGGAUGAAUCAUGCCUGAAGAAACUUUCAGUUUUCAUUUUAUUUUCUUGGUUAAAACAUGCUAUUAAACUCUCAACUUCCUCAUGCAAUUACUUAGCUAAACAAUGAACAUUUCCAGUUUAGAAAUCGAGUUCAAAUAACAGCCAUUAACAUCAAAAUUCCUAAAAAUUAUUCCAGCUUGGCUCGGAUGAACUUGCAUGAGGCAGGUUGCAUUUUGAUUUUAUUUUUCUGGUUUAAACUAAUUAAUUAACUACCUGCAGAGCCUAAUUAACUUGUUAUUAACCAGCUAAUUGUGAUUAUAAGCUCAAACAACAAAAUUAAACCAAAUCAAGCUGCAUUAAUCAAGUUAAGCUCUCGGCAGUUCCAUCACUUGCGCAUAACAGAAAUUCUUCUUUUCUUAAUUCCAAAUCCGGCUGCUUAAACUCACAUGCAUGUUCCUAGAUGACUUAACCGUCUUGUUUUUAGUUGGUUAAACAUUUAAUUGAGCUCAGAUUGUCGCAGGGAAUCAGAAAUGAUGCUACAUUUCCAAACCAGUUCCUCGGCAGAGCCAUUUAGCCAAAACAGAAAUUUUUCUAGUGACUUAAUUUCAUCAUCCGACUGCCCAAAUCAACAUGCAUGGUCUUAGUCUUCAAGUUUUCACUCAGCUAAUGACACUUAGGUGUUCAGAUUGCCACGGAAAAACAAAAAUGGAGCUGCAUUACCACCUCAGUUUCUCGGCAACAACAUUUCAUCAAAACAGAAAUUUUCUAAUGGCUUGAUUUCAACAACCGACUGCACAAUCCAAACAUGCAAGCUCUGAUAUAGCUUCCUCUACUAGUAAUCAACUUAAUUAGUCCAGAAAUUACCUCAGAUAUUAGCUAAGCUCACACACGAAAAUUCCAGAAUUUUCUUUCCUUCCUCUCGGCUUCAAGCGCAGGUCGGUUGGUCCUGGUUCCUGAGUUGCGGCUUGAGUGGGGUUGUGGUGAGGUUGAGUUCGGUUGGUUGGAGUUGGAAAUGACCACAGCUAGGAGAGAAAAGGGUGCGAUGGUCUCCUGGUAUCUUCUCUCAGCUUACGGUCAGAACAGAAAGAAAGAAAUGGCAGCUUGCGUUCCCUCCUCCCUUGCUCUCGGAUGCAGCUCACAAGGUAACUCUCUCUCCUUUACUCUCGGUCCAAGGCAGAGGAAGAGCUGAGAUGCGGUUGUGGAGAGGAAGUGUAGUGGCUGCGGUGGAAUCGUGCAGAGGAAAUGGAAUGGUGAAGAGUGGCGGUAUCUCGGUAUUAAGAAGGAAGAGGAAAUGGUUUGCGAGGAGUUGUGAUAUGAAUUGGAAAGAAUGGUAUAAGGUGCCGCUGUUUUUGGAGCAGAGAUUGCGUGUAAGAAUCGGUUGCGUAUAGAAUUGGUGAUAAUGUAAUUGGUCGAUAGUUGCGGUGAUUGAAAUUGCUGUCAGAGGGUUUGUUUGGUUUGCAUGGAAAUGUAAGGGCAUUUUAGUCUUUUCACUUUGCUCCCUAACCUCAACUUAAUUUCUCAAUUCAACUUAAUUCUAAAAAUUAUCCCCAAGUGUGAUUUGAACGCCUAAUUAUACACUAGUAUACUUAAACCAUUUUUAUCGAAUAUUUAACGAUUACACUUUAAUAUUAAAGUUCCUAACAUUAUUUAGCGAUUAAAUUAGUUAUCAGAAUUUCCAAUUAUUUAUUCUCAAGAAAUAGAGUUAGUUUAACUCGAAAUUUAUCGAUUUAGUAAUAUAAAGUCAAGGAAAAUAAUAAUUUAAUACAAGUGUGUCAGUUUGCACAUAAAAAUUAUUUUUACGCACUUAUUGUAAAAACAAAGAAGGAUAAGACUGUAAUUAUCGAAAAUUUCACGCCUUAAGUAUGUUUAGCAUACUUGUAUAAUAUUUAUCUAAAAUUCAUUGGUUUUCAUCUUAACGCGGAAAUUCCUAUUAACAUUUGACAUUAGUAACUAAUUGGAAUUAAUCACUGGAAUUUAAAUAAUUUGUUUUAAGAUAGUAAGUUUAUCGACUCAAGUGUCAUUAAUUUCGCAUAAGAGAAUUUAAGUAUUCUAACAUUUUAUGCUAAGGCGAAAAAUUUAAUCUAACUCUAAAGAUAUUAAUUUAGUUUAACAAAACCAAGAAAUUUCAUAAAUUAGAAAAAUUAUAUUAUUUUUCACAUAAACCUAUUUUUGCGUACUUAAUUGCAAACAAGUAAAAGUAAUGCUAGAAAUUAUUAAGGAAUAAAAGAAAUGCAAAUGAAAUAUGCACUGGCUUAUAUAUAUUUUCAGGGUUCUCACAUCCUCCCCUCCUUACAAAGAAUUUUGUCCUCAAAAUUCACACUUUCUAAGGAAAUAAAUCAGGGUACUUUUUCUGCAUUUCUUCCUCCCAUUCCCAAGUUGCUUCCUCAAGUCCAUGAUUUUCCAUAGAAUCUUUACCAGAGGAAUUUCCUUAUUCCUCAUCUCCUUUACUUCUCUUUCCAAAAUCUUGACUGGUCCCUCUUCAUAUGUUAACGUCUCAUCCACUUCAAUUCCCUCCAGUGGCAGCACAUGACUUGGGUCGGAAUAAUAUUUCUUAAGCAUGGAAACGUGAAAUACAUCGUGAACCUUAGCCAUGCUUGCGGGUAACUUCAGCUGAUAUGCUACAUUCCCAAUUCGCUUCAAAACUUCGAAAGGUCCGAUAUACCUUGGCUUUAGCUUCUUACCUCUCUUAGACACUACUCCGCCCUUCAAGGUUUUAAUUCUUAGGAAGACCUUGUCUCCUACUUCGAAUUCCAAAUCUUUCCUCCUUGUGUCGGCGUAGCUCUUUUGUCUACUCUGAGCGGUUUGAAGCCUUUCUCUAAUUAGUUUCACUUUUUCCUGGGCUUCUUCUAUCCAAGGUAUCGCUGUUGGAUCUAAAAUCUUCUUCUCUCCUAUUUCAUCCCAAUGAAUCGGAGAUCGACACCUUCUCCAUACAAAGCUUCAUAAGGUGCCAUUUGAAUUGAGGCUUGAUAACUAUUGUUAUACGUAAAUUCUACUAAGGUCAUAUAAUUACUCCAUUUACCUCCAAAAUCCAAUAUACACGACCUCAGCAGAUCCUCCAAAGUUUGAAUUGUUCUUUCCGACUGCCCGUCGGUUUGGGGAUGGUAAGCAGUACUAAAUUUCAACUUGGUCCCCAAAGACUCCUGAAAUUUUGCCAAAAACGCGAGACAAACCUUGGGUCUCGAUCAGACACAAUACUUACAGGGAUACCAUGUAAUCUUAGGAUCUCUUCUGUGUACAACUUGACCAGUUUUUCCAAAGAAAAGCUCAUGCUUACGGGUAGGAAAUGUGCAGAUUUAGUGAGUCGGUCAACUAUUACCCAAAUUGCAUCAAAUCCUUUUUGACUUCUAGGCAAUCCUGUUACAAAAUCCAUUGUUAUAUGUUCCCAUUUCCAUUCAGGGAUUUCUAACGGUUGCAACAAACCAGAGGGCUUCUGGUGCUCAGCUUUGACUUGUUGGCAGAUCAAGCAUCUCUGUACAAACUCUGCCACGUCCUUUUUCAAACCUUCCCACCAGUAUAAUCCCUUCAUAUCAUGAUACAUCUUGGUCACACCUGGGUGUAUAGUAUACUUCGAUCGAUGUGAUUCUUCUAAAAUUUCUUUUCUUAUCUCUUCAUCUGCGGAAUCACAAUUCGAUCUCGAAACCUCAAUACACCUUCAGACCCUAAUUUAAAAUCUAGGUUUCCCCUUUUUGCACUUUCUCCAAAUUCUUCUGAAUUAUAGGGUCCAUUUUCUGGGCCUCCUUAAUACGCUCUAGUAAUGGUGAUUUUAACGAUAAGUUCCCAAAUAAUAUCUUCAGUUUCUCCAAGCGAGGGUUCCAACCACUUAUUUCUUCUAGCAUGUCCCACUCUUUAACCAUUAACCCUGCUACUUGGGCCUUUCUACUUAGAGCGUCAGCUACCACAUUAGCUUUUCCUGGGUGGUAGUUAAUUGAAUAAUCAUAAUCUUCCAGAAAUUCUACCCAUCGUCUUUGUCUCAAAUUUAGUCCUUUUGGGAGAACAAAUACUUGAGGCUCUUAUGGUCCGUAUAAACCUCAAAAGUCACACCAUACAAGUAAUGUCUCCAUUUCUUUAAGGCGAAAAUCACUGCUGCUAAUUCUAGGUCAUGAGUUGGGUAGUUUUGUUCAUGAGGCUUCAAUCUCCUGAGGCAUAGGCAACACUUUACCAUUUUGCAUUAAAACACAUCCUAGACCUUCUCCAGAAGCAUCGGAGUACACGGCAUAACCUUCUCCUCCGUCAGGUAACACCAAAACAGGAGCGGAUGUUAAACGCUUCUUUAAUUCCUGAAAACUUGACUCGCACUUCGAAGUCCAAAUGAACCUAUUCCCUUUCUUGGUUAGCUCGGUCAUGGGUCCAGCAAUCUUCAAAAAAUCCUUGAUAAAUCGCCUAUAAUAACCUGCUAAACCCAAGAAACUUCUAACUUCAGUUGGAGUUUCUGGCUGCUUCCAAUUCAUAACGGCUUCUACUUUUGCCGGAUCCACGGCAAUUCCAUCUUUGGAAACCUUGUGCCUAGAAAAGAUAUUUCAUCCAGCCAAAACUCGCACUUGCUGAAUUUGGCAUACAACUUAUGCUCCCUUAAUAUCUGCAAAACUAUCUCCAAGUGCUUAACAUGUUCCUCUCGAGUCUUAGAGUAUAUCAAGAUAUCAUCGAUGAAAACCACUACAAACUGAUCCAGAUACUUCUUAAAGACUCUCUGCAUUAAAUCCAUGAAUGCCGCUGGUGCAUUAGUUAAACCAAAAGGCAUGACUGCGAACUCAAAAUGUCCGUAUCUCGUACUAAAAGCAGUCUUGGGUAUAUCCUCCUUCUUAAUCUUCAACUGGUAAUACCCUUGUCUCAAGUCCAGCUUAGAGAAAACUACUGACCCUUGCAGUUGGUCGAACAAACUAUCUAUCAACGGUAGAGGGUAUUUACUCUUAAUUGUAAUCUCAUUUAACCCUCGGUAAUCGAUACAUAACCUCAAGCUUCCGUCCUUUUUCUUAACAAAUAGAACGGGUGCUCCCCACGGUGAAUCACUUUCCUUCACAAAAUCUUUCUCCAAUAGAUCUUGCAGUUGAAUUUUCAACUCCUUUAGCUCUGCAGGAGCCAUUCGGUACGGAGCUCUAGAAAUUGGAGCCGUUCCAGGCACCAAGUCAAUCUUAAAUUCCACUUCUCUUUCCGGCGGUAGAGUCUUUAGCUUUCGGGAAAAACAUCCGGAAAUUCUCGUACCACUUGUACAUCUUCUAACUUCACUUGAUCACUGGGAGCAUUAAUCAAGAAGGCUAAGAAACCUUGAGCUCCUUUUGACAACAUUUUCCUCGCCCGUAUCCCUGAGAUCAUAGCAGAUGAUGCUAACCUACUCUUAACAUCUAACCGCAGGGUUGCUUCUCCAGGUAUACAAAAUUCUACCACUUUCGCUCGGCAAUCAAGCUUAGCAUGAUACUGGCCUAGGAAAUCCAUUCCUAUGAUAACAUCGUACCCUUUUAUGUCCAGGCUGAUUAGAUCCACUAGCAUUUUACGCUCUCCAAUCCAGAAUUCACAAUUCUUAUAGGCUAAGCUAGCAAUUAUCUUCUUAUUACCCAUUGGUGUCCUAACUUCAAGAUCGAAGGGUAAUCUAACAGGUUGCACAUCUAUUCCAGACAUAAAAGAUGGAUUUACGAAUGAAUGAGUUGCACCAGGGUCAAUUAACACUUUAGCUAAUCGAUGAAAAAUGGGGAGAGUACCUUCCACGACUUCCGAGGAAUCAGGUACAGGUUGGUCAUCUAUAGCAUACACUCUGGCAGGAACUGUCGGCCGGCUCCCUCCAGAAGUGUUUGGUCUAGCGUUCGAAGUAGUCCCUUCCUGCAUUUUUGGACAUCCAAAAUUUGGUGCUCAUUACUUCCGCACUUCAAGCACUUUCCUUGCUUCUCCAGCAACCAUCCAUAGUAUGGCCAGGUUUCUUGCAAUAUGCACAGGUCACUUGAGGAAUUAUUGCUCGACCUCCUUGCGAGUUAUUCCUAGGUUGUCCUCUUCCAAUCGGUCCCACUCUAGCUCCAUUAUUUUGUCCCCCUACAUUCCUUGCCCCGGUUCCUCUUGCUUGAGCGCCUCGCGGUGCUCCAGGACUAUUCACUCCACUGGUUCCUCGGCCCACUUUGGCCGGUGGAGCAUUUCCAUACGUCGGCUCCCGACUACUGCUAGGAGCAAAUCUUUUCUUGGCCUGAAAAGAUUUCACUUGAGCCCUAGCUACUUCAACUCUCUGGGCUUUCUCGACGACAUCUGCAAAAGUAUCUAUCCUCACGCAGCUAAACCUUCCUGUAUUUCUACAUUCAGACCCUGCACAAACCUUCUGACUCGCCUUUGCUCCGUGGUUACCAAUUCAGGAGCAAAACGGGAUAGCUUUGUGAACUGGACUUCAUAUUCGGCGACACUCAUCGCCCCUUGCUUACAUUUUAUGAAGUCAUCCUCUCUCUUUUCUUGGAUGAGAGGUGGAAGAAAUUUGGCAUUGAACUCCCUUGUGAAGUUCGCCCAAUUCCUUGGAGUAUGAUUCCUGUCCCAGUUAAUCCUAACCAGAUUCCACCAGGAGCGAGCGGCUCCCUCAAACUGGAAUGCGGCGAAAGUCACUUGCCGCUCUUCCGAGUAGUUUAAAGCUGCGAAGAUGUCGGAGAUUCUCUCCCACCAUCCCUCAGCUACCUCCGGUUCGGGUCCUCCGUAGAACUUAGGAGGUCCAAACUUCAAAAACCUUUCCAGUGUCCGAUCCUCGGAAUCGGCUGGGCCUCCUUGGCGGUGCACUGGUCCAGAGGCUUGGUGUUCAGUCAAACGCUCUAAGACGUCAGUAAUACGGUUAAUAGCGGUGGCCACUCCGUCUCCGGCCCCGCCCUCUUGCCCUUGGUCUCGAUUGACCUCGGGUUCCCUGUCACCACCCGCUUCCGGGUGCUGUCUAGUGGGUCUCCCACGGCUCCUUCCUACUACUUGGCGAUCCAUUGCCUAAUUAUGCCUAUUACUGAAGGGUAAGACAAUUAGGCAAAAAUUUUAUUUAUAUUCAAUUAUUAAUAUUCUUUAUGUGAUUAAAAUCAACAUGGAAAUGGAGGAAAAGGGAAUGAAACACUUAUCAUAUAUUUCCGCGGAAUAGUCAUACAAUUAACAAGUUGGAACAUUUCCAAAAGUAAGGCAUAUAAGUUAGCAAAAAUACAUACAGAUAAUUCCCUUAAACAAAAAUAAGGGAUAUGGUGCCUCGGAAGCAAGUCAUUCACCUAGACAAAAUUUGAUGACUUGACUAAUGUCCCUUUUCUAGUCCUACAUACCUAGUACUAUCAAGUCAACCUAACCUAGCCCUCAGCAGGGCUAUCAGGAGCGACGUCCUCAGCCGGAUCCUCCUCUGGAUCCUCCUCUGCGCCUGCCUGCUCGUUACCCUGAAGGUAACUAGUGGCCUCGUCCACUAGCAUAGCGGCAUCAGCCCUGAUGCCAGCACUCCUAUCACGGAUCCCUCAGCUAGUCGGGUCACCCUAGACCUCUGUCGCUCUAUCUCCAAAACGAGCAGCCUCCAGCAUAUUAUGCUCAGCAGUUAGCCUAAUCUCCAAAUCGGCUAUGCGGUCGAACUGGGUAUCCACCAUGAUACUCAGCUCCUCCACAUCCUGGGUCAAGGUGUGGUUAGCGUCCCACAAGUGGCGGCGCUCAUCAUCAAGGGAUAACACCAAGGCGUUGGAUACGCGUAUAUGGCUCUACACUGGCAUCUAGGGUGCCUAUCAGCAGGUGAGUAUCGAACUCGGUCUCCUCCACCUCGAGGCCUAUAGGAAAUGGAUCUCUGCGGCUCUACAUGUCCAUUAGCCGCGCUACUACCAUUAACAUGUCCAUUACCAUUCUCCAUACCUGCAAAAUAGUCAAUACUUAAAGGUUAGAACUUAAAUAGCUAACUGAAUCAGAUAUCACUUAAGGUAUAUCUAAUGGUCUCAAUUCUUAUUCCUAGAGAGGAUUAAGGUCUCUAACAUAUCUAAUAUAUCUUUCAAAUAACUUUUCUAACCUAGGCUCUGAUACCAC